rnacentral:lncRNA from 1 species
GAGAGAAAGAGUUUCUCCUCCAACACAGAGAGAGAAAGGAGAGACUUUGGCUAGGGAUUAAACAAUUUUAUUUAGAAUGAACAGGGUUCAUCUAAUUACCUAAUUAAGAAUAAUUUUUUUUGAAUAGUGAUAAUAUUAUUGAUCCAAAAGCUAGAAUGCCAUAGUAAGUCUUGAUCUGAAUUGGAAAAAGACUCUUUUUAAUAUCAGAUUCCCAAUCUCUUCUUAUUACCAGAACCAUUGGCAAAAUCAAUGAGGCAAAUUCAUCUUGACACUUAUAUUUGAGUCAAGAUAAACAUCAAAUUUUAGUUUUAAUGUAUUUUGUUAUUCUUUGUGAUAAAUAAUAUAUUAUUGUGAAAUAGUAGUACUCAACAGAAAAAUAAAAUAUUAUUAUUUGGAGCCUUAUUAAUUUAUCCGAUUUUAAAGGUUCCGGGCUUGCUUCUAAUUUAUCCGAUAUUAAAUAUUAUUAUUAAUGGGAUUCAUCUGUGUUAAUCUCAGGACAGUUGCGGUUGUAGGUAGAGAACAAUUGCUUCUAAUCAGUAAAAAUGUCUUUAAGACUUAUCCUUCGGGCAGAAUAUAGUUUGUUUUUGGUUCUGUUUCAUGUUGACAGAAACCUUUUGGAUUCAAAACUAAAAAUGUUCUGGUAAUCAGGUUCUGUUAGUUGCAAUAUUCCAUGUUUUGGGUGGUUUACCCUUUUCCCUUGUUUCAUGGUCUCCCUUUUUAGCAGAGAGACAAAAUUGUGCUUUAGUUAUAAAGGCUACAGGAGAAAGCUCUGACUCUUCCACCCAUGGGUGGAUUCAGGAAUUUUUUUCAAUGGUGCUAUAAUUAAAACAAUUAUUAAAAAAAUAAAUAUUUUAAAAUUCAUAAAGUAGAAGUUUUAACAUUAAAUUAAAGAAAAUAUAAAUUCAAUACAUUCAUUUAAUACUGCAAAGUAAAAAUAUUUUAAAAAAUCAUAAUUAUUCACGAUGAUUUUUUAUAUUUUGAAAACGUUGUAUGAUAAUAUCAGUGGCCCUUUUUGCAAAUAUGCUCUUCUAAUUUUAUCUUGAUCAUUAAGAUCAGACUUAGAAAUUUUUUUCUUAAAUCCAGGAUCUGCUGGAAUGGUACUUAAAUCAAAUUCAAUACAACUUUACUUAGAUAAUUGUUGACUACAAUCAUUAGUAGAAUUUUGUUGUUGUUGUUGCUUGGAAUCUGAUUCUUGUGGGAUAAUUUUUUUUCUUUCAAAAUAUCUUUCCAUGGCUUAUUUAUCUAAAAUAUAAAAACUUGUUAAAAAUUACUACUCAUUAGCAUAAAUUAAAAUAUUAAAAUUAAAUAAAAUAUGAUCUUACAUAACAAAUUAUCAAGUUCAACAACUAAUGAUAUGACAAUUUUCUAUUCAUUGAUCAAAACUAAAUAUAACAAUCUACAAACCACAUAAAGUUAAAUACAAAAAUCAAAUAAUUAAUAUCUACAAAAUAAAUCAAAAUAAAAAAGACAAAUAAUUUCAACUAUCAAAUUAAUCAAAAAAUGUUUAGACAUAAAAUAUUUAAAAACUUAACUUGGAUUGAAAAUUACUUACAAACGAAGUUUAGUUGGGUUGUUUUGAGAGAAUGAAAAACACAGCCAAAAAUCGAGAAGAGAAAAAUCACUAUAAAUCUCAAAAGUAAGAUUAGAAUUUUUGAAGGGGAGAGUAGUUUAGAUUUUAAUUUUUUUAAUAAAAUCUUAAAUUAUAAAAGAAAAUUUUUUAAUCUUUUCAUGUAGAAUUUAAAUAUUAAUAUAUAAAUUAUUUUUUGAUAAAUUUACUUUUUGAUAAACUUUAAAUUUUUUUAAAAAAAUUUAAAUAUUAUUAAUCUAUAAAAUUUUUGAUAAAAUCUUCCUUUUCACCCCAUUUCUUACCAAAUUGUAAAAAAUAAUGAGUUCAUAGUAUGAUUAAAUAUAUAAAAUUCUAAAAAAAUAAUAUAAUAAAUAAAUUUUUUUUAAUUGAGUGGUGUCUUGUGAUACCACUCACAUAUACAUGGGUCCGCCCAUGCUUCCACCACAGUUAAUAUUGUUAAGUCCGUUCAAAAUGUUUGGGAUAAAUCUAAUGAAGAUAGGGUAGGUCUCAUUGGACCGGGCUUUGCAGCUAUAUAGGCCCUGUGGCCAUCAACAAAUUUGGCGUCGGCUGUCGACAAAUUGCCGCUUAUUCCAAAUGUGCUAGAAGUUAUUGGAAUACUGUUUUCAUCGUUCUUGCUCAAACCUGAUCGAGAAGAACUGUUCCAAAUCAUCAACAAGUCAAUAUCAGAAAUUUUUGGACCGUAUUUACAUGUAGUGGAGGUUGUAAUUUCUGAACAUAACAGAUAGCCAACCCCGCAGUUGGUAUAUGGUUUGUGUUGCUGUGAUAAUUGAAAUAUGGCGGCAUCUUCAUAGUGUAAUCUUUUUGUAUUAGUGUGAAGUGUGAAGUGUGAUGUGUGAUGUCCAGAGUCACUAUCCAUAGAAACAACCAAAGCGUAUGUCUGUAGAUGUCAUGGGCAGGUCACAGCGUCACUGUUUCCCCAUGGUGCCAUAUGAAAAUUUUCGACUCAAGUUCAAUUUUUUUAAAAAAAAGAAAGAACGUUCCGGGUUUACCUAAGUAUUUUCCCAUCACAACUAAACAAGAGCUGCAUGCAUAAGGAUUUUCUUAUCACAACUAAUGAACAAUAGAACAGAACAAAAGUGUUCCUUUUUCUAAUUAGAAAAUUAUAUUCAUGAUUGUUUGUGCAUGGUUAAGACUUAAAAGAGUGUAUCACGUUGCCUAUUUAAAGAAAAAACAAAGAAAAAGCUGGAGAACAAUUAUGUGGUUCUAGCAGCGUAUUGCUAUAGUUAUUACAUAUAAUUUAAUUACAUUUGAAAAAUAAUUAAAUGUUUUAAAUCAAAUAAUCUUCCUUAACAAAUUAAUGUUGUCCAAAUGGCGAAGUGUUUGCUAAAAAAUAAAUUUUUUUUUCGAAAGAAACACAUCGCCGUCUGGUUGACAUUGGUUCACUCAAAGAAUUUGUUAAGGAAACACAAAUUUUUGCUAAAUAGUCAAUGCUACAAAGACAUGAGCAGGGGGAAUUUGGGUUUGUCUUUUUGCUAAAGAAACGAACGCGUUUCCUCAUGGGUGACUCAAUAAGCUUAAAAGGCUGAAGUGAUUAUUAUAUAUUUCUUAAAUGAUUAAUAUAAAUCAACAAUCAAAAUUUUUAAUUUAAAUAAAUCAAUUAUUAUAUAAAAUAAAAAAAUAUAAUAAUAUAAUAUAAACUCUAAUUUAAAGUAAAAAAAUCUAUAAAUAUUAUAAUAAUAGUACUUAACUGUUGAAUAUUUAUUACAAACUAUAAAUAAGACCCACAGUUUCAUGAUAAAAAUAACAUAACAGAUUUCUUAUUUAUUAUUUAAAAAAAAUUGAAAUUAAAAAAGAAAAAGGAAAAAAAAGUAAAUGAAAAAAAAAUUAAAAGUAAAUAUUAUACAUUGAAAAAAAAUAAUUGAUUUUAUAUAUAAGAAAAAAUUAGUUGUUGAUAAUUAUUAAAUAUGUUAAUUGAAAAUAGAAAAAAUAAGUAAAUAAAAAAUAGCUGUUGGAAAUGAUUAAAUACAUAUAAUCGUUAGUUGAUUGAAAAUAAAAAAUAUAAUUAAAAAUUAAUAGUAUUUUAAAAAUUAAAAAAUGACAAAAAAAAUUAACAUUUAUUAAACACAUAAUUAAAAAAAUAAUUUUAUUAAUUAUUAAUUAUUUUUAUAUAUUUUUAAUUUUUAUAUAUUUUUAAUAUAAUUAAUUAUAUUAUAAAAUUAUAGAAUUUUCCCAAAUUUAAGGUCUCUCUAUAUUGAGGGCCCAAUGCCCUUGCUUGGGUGGCUUCACCCAAGGGCCGGCCUUCCUUAUAUCUCAUGACCACGAACAGUACAAUGCCGUAAACAGUUCCCAGUGAAACCAUUCAACGCGCUCUGUCUCUCUCAAAUUCUUAAGAAAUAGAAUAAUGAAGCAUGGUGAACAAACCCUAGUUCAAAUUUCAGCUAGGCAUCAAUUUUAAUUUAAAAAUUUAAGUUCCAUUUGGUUAAACUUUUUAAAUUUAAAGUUUUUAUUUAGUUAUUUGUUAAAAUAUAUAGUACAACAUAUAUAAUUUUUUAGAUGAUAAAUGCCUGAUUCUAAUUUCAUAUAAACUAUUAUAGUUGGUGCUAUUCUUUUAAUUAUUUGUCAAUUUUACUUUAUUUUAGUUUUAUAACAAAUUUUCAGAAUGAUAAAAAAUAAAUAACAAGAAGUAAGUAACAAAAGUAUUAGCUAAAUUGAGCUUUAAUUAUUCUUCAUGAGUUCUUUUUCUUUAAAUAACAAGCAGCUUUACCUUGAUUGAAAGGAAGCUACCUGUUUUAACUUUCUAGAUUAUUGGGACCACUAAGUGUCAUUUUUCAGAAAAAGCGGCACUGACGAUAAUUAGUCAGUUCUGGGGUUGAAUUUCUAAUUCUGGUUGAAAAACUAUGAACUUUACUAGUCUUUGUUCCAGUAAUCCUAUUCCCAAUAAUUCUCUAUAUAUACCCUCUUCUCUAUCCCCAAGUACCAAGCAAGACAGAGAACUCAGGGAAUAUGUGCAUCAAUUCAACCAACCAGCACCCUGCAAGGUCAGUUUCCGUCUAUAUGAAAAUUAAUUUCAAUGUUUGAGUCAUAUUCUUAUGUGAGGAGUAAUUCAGUAGAACCUAGAAGUAGGCCAAGUUUAAGUUUUGAGUGUAUCAGUGUCUUAUUAUUACUUAAUUCAGUUGAGAAGAUUCCUCACAUAUUAUCAUUAGAGUUAGUAUUAGAUAUCAUGUUUGAUAAUUGUAACCGCUUCUUAUAUGCUAGCAAUACAGCAUUCUUAGUAAUUGCUAUUAUAAUCCUUCGGGUGUUUUAAUCAUAAAGCCUGUUUCUCGUUAAAUGUAACUCAUUUUUUUACUUGUCGACAGAGAAAACAAGCAAGUAAGAAAUUUUUCCUACGUUGUAAUGUUUAUCAUAAGUACAUCAUGUUUACUUCUGCAGAUAAAAUACCGAGGAAGAGAAGAGUCUCCCUUCGACACGCACCAUCAACAUAUGUUGGCCUUCUCUACUACUCUUUUCAUAUGGGUUUUGGUAAAGGUCAUCAAAAUGAAUCCCCCAGCAAGUUACCAUCUCAUUCUCAAUGCCAUUGGUCAAUUCUCCCUAUCUUUUGUACCAAUCCCGAUUCUUUUAAUCGUCGUCCCACUUAUCGGGUGGCUUAGUUUCACCCUUUGGGUAGUUUGUUUUGUGAACACUGUUAAAAAGCACUCUACACAACUCUUAAGAUGGUUUAACCCUGCUAAAUUCCCUAUGUUUAGAAUAUGGAAAUCCUUGAUAAAUCAGAAAUUCCUAUUGAGUGGCCACUUAACUGGUGAACGAAGGAGUCUGUCAGUCUAAAAUCAAUCUUAUUUAAGUUCUUAUAUCAGAUUCAGAUCAAUAGAUCAUCGACUGGCAACUGAUUCGUUGCAUCUGUAAGAUGCCGAAGCCUCUGCUGUCAGAACAUAAAGUUUCAAAAUUUUCAGAUGAUUUCUCCAAGAACUUAUCAGCAGCUUUCUCAGUCUGAUGAUAUGUGACUGGCGAAGGCUCCCACUUUUGUGCAGCAAACAGGGGACUGGCUGAUGUUUAUAAGAUGUUAGCAGGAAAACUUAGUCCAGAAAUAACUUUGAAUCGGUACUGAGUCACCAUAUGACAGAGGAAGAAAACCCUUUAUUGGUAUUCAGAUUCGUGAAUCAUCAAUUGUUAACAAAACAAAUUCAUCUCAACAAUUAGAUUUGAGUCUAGAUAAGUACCAAUUUUUAGUUUUCAUAUAUUGUUUGUUUUUUUUUUCUUUACAUGAAAGAUAAUAAAUUGUUGUUAAAUGUUAAUAUUUAAUUUAGAGUGUGGAGCCCUUUUUUUCCAAUAUCAAUUGGUUGUAUAAAACUUAUGAAUUAUCAUUUAUCAAGAUAAACUCUAUAUUAACGCUUUGGGAGCACGACCAUUGCUGAAUAAACAGAGCAUGAAUCAUUAAAGGUUCUGGGUUUUACAUAAGUUUAUGUUCCUAUGAAAACUAAAGAGGAGCUGUUAUUUUGAGUUAUUGUUGACUGACACUCUUGCCUUGGUUUUUUUCACUGUUAGUCUGAGCUCCAUUUCUGGUGAAGUUCUUCCUUGUUUGUCUCACCAGUUGUGGGCUGAUUUAGCUUAGGCGGGUUAGUUUCAGGACGCCACUGUCACAUUUUUGGUUUGGGAUGGUACGUUGAGUGCUUGAAGGAGGAGUGGGGCGGGGAAGGGGGCCAUUGGAGUGCUGUUUUUUUUUUGUGGUUGUUGGGUCUGUUUUGAUUCUUGUGGUCUGGGGUCUUGCGGUUUGUGCCCUUUAUGUCUGAUCAACUCCUGGGAUUGAGAGUGGGUAGAGGUUUUUUGGGGUUUGAUGUUUUGUUGGUUUAUGCAUUUUGAGGUGAGGUGUGGAUGCUUCAGUGAAGGUUCGGAUCUUCACUGUUUCGAGGGUGCGUGGUAUGUUUCCUUGUCUGCUUGAUCACGAUUCCUUGGACUGCGGUGGCAAUGACUUUUCUUCCUGAGCCUUGGUGUCUUCCUUGCAUGUGGCUUGGCUGAUGACCCUUUUGGUGCUUCUUGAUGGUCCUAGUCUGGGGUGGUCUGGUUCACUCCUUGAGAGGAAUUCUUCGUAUGAUUUCUAGGUCCUUCACUGCAAAGUCUGCUCUUCACGAUCGCUUCUCUGUGGGCUUCUCUUGAUGCUGUUUCGUGGAAGACUUGGAAGCUGUUGUAGCGAGUCUUACCCCCUGAAGGACUGAGAUGCUGCUUCUCUUCCUCCAUCACAAGAGGGCUGCUUGAGAUUUCAACGCUCUCUCCGUUUUGUUAGGCUUAUCUAUUCCUAAUGCCAGUUAGGUUUGGCUGCUCCCCUUGAAGUCUUCUGUUUCUGUUUAACGUAGCAAAGUUGCUAUACGCAGUGAAUCUUUUGCAAUGACUAUGAACAGGGGCGGAGCGUCCCUUUACACACUGUCUCCAAAAAUUUUAAAAAUUUUUAUAUAUUAAAUAUAUUUUUUAAUGAACCUCAAAAUAAUUUUUUAUUAAAUUAUUAAUACAAUAAGUUAUAUAUAUUUUUCAAUAAAUCUCUAAAAUAAUUUUUUUAAAAUUAUUAAUACAAAUAAAAAAUAAUAAAUGAUUUUAUAAAUCCAUUUAACUUUAUCUUAACUCUUAAAUUUUUCCUUUUAAGUUUCUUCACAUUUCUUUCCAUUUCUUUCUCUUCUCUUUUGUCUUUUCAUUGUAAAAUUACAAAGAGGAAAAGUUCUUUUUAUCUUUCUUUUUUUAUUUAUAUUAUUAUUAUUCGUUAUUUAUUUUUUUCAAGUCUAUUCUAUUUAAUCAUAUGUUUUAAGUUUCUAUAAUUUUCUUCUUCAAAGUUUUAUGAAUCAUCUACUAUAUUCUUUUUUUUUUUUUGUUAUGUAGUUCUAUUUUCUACUUGUUAAUUUUUUUUGUUAUAUGUUCUCAAUGAUUUUAGUCUUUAAAAAUUAAAAGAUUAUUAUAUAAUUCUUAAAUAUCCAUUGUAGAGUUGUAUGAUUGUUUGUUGCUUAAAAUUAGUGUUGCAUUAUUGAUUGUUACUUAAGAUUUCAUCAAUAUAUCAUUUUUUAUUAAUUUUGAUUAUAUAAGAUAUUUUUUUAUGUGUUUUAUGUUUUAAAUUUAGUUGAAAGGAAAUUAUCUUUGAGUAUUUAGUCUUUAGACAAUAUUGAUUAUGUAAGAUGAAAUUAUUAAUCUUGUAUGUUGUAUUUAAUUGUUUAUAUUUUAUACAUUAUUCCUCUUCAUCUUUGACACUCCUAAUAAAAAUUAACUAGCUCCGUCCCUGAUUAUGAAUAUCAUGCUCUAUGUUGUAUAGUUUAGAGUUCUUUAGGUUCUGCUUUUUGAUAAUGCUACCAUUCUCUUGAGUAGCAGACUAUUGAUGUUAAACUUACAGUUUUAAUACCGCAACGAGUCUUUUGAAGCUCUUAAGCCUCGAAAUGGCAUUGAAGUCGUGAUCAACAAAAUUCACUUUUUUAAAAAAAGAAAACCAAAGGAGCUGCAUACAUUAGGAUUUUCCUACCAUAACUAAUGAACCAUAGAACAGAAAAAAAAGUGUUCUCUUCUUCUAAUUAGAAAAUCAUAUCCCUGAUUGUUUGUUCAUGGUUAAGAGUAUACCAUGUAACAAUUCUAUAUGGACAAACCAAAAGAUGCCUAUUAAAAGAAAAAACAAAGAAAAAGCCAGCAAAACAAUGUGGUUCUGAUAGGGUAUUGCAAUGGUUACAACAUGUUAUUCCAUGGUACUCAGACCACCCUUCUGAUCAGCUGCAAAAUUGAUGUAACUUGUGUAUACUUGUAGAAAUAACCAAUUUUGAUGCAUUUUUGCCUUUUCCUUUUCCCUUUUUAGUUGCUAACCAGCUACCUUGGUACAGGGUUGUUGUUACUGGAUGGAAGCAGAUGCACACUGUAGAUACUUGAUUUUGGUUAAUACUUAUUCUCUAAAAAAUUAUGUUACAACAUAAUGUUGUACAGAAAACAACUAGAACAAGUGUAGUGCUACUUCAUACAGAAUAACUAGAACAAGUAAAGCGCUACUUCACGCAGAACAACUAGAACAAGUGAAGUACUACUUAAAGCAGAAGAAUUAAAAUAAGUAAAGCAUUACACCAUAUGAAACAAUUAAUACAAGUAGAACAGCUACUUCGAAUAGAAUAACCACUUCACUUGGAUGACAGUGAAAGCAACUUGGAAUAAGUGAUAGGGUUCAUGAGUUACUUUCAUCUUAUGAUGUUCUAGACAGUUUGGCUUGAUGGCUCAGAUAUGGAGGUAGUUAAGAGGUCUUCCUCUUAACCCUUUCCUGAAGUACAAGUGUUUCACCCUUCUACCUUAUUCUCGUAUACCUAUUUAUGUACAGCUUCUUCUCUUAUACCUGUUCUCGUACAGCUUCUUCUUUUGUAACUUUUCACGUAUAUCUCUUUUCUAGUACCUUUUACGUGAAAAACAAGUCUUAUUACAUCCAAUUACAGUAACGGUUACUCACAUUAAUGUUCUACAUAAUAAUGUUAUUUAUUAGGCGCAUUAAAACCUAUUCUUGAGUAACUGUUAUUUUUAACACUAUAUAUAGAGCUUCACAAUUCAUUUGGAGGGACCCUUCUCUCUUCUUCUGAACUAACACAUUCUCAGCUUGAGAGCUUCUCUCUCUAAAUUAUUUAUAUAAUUCUCUUAGUGUUCUCUUUCACCUAUCACGACAUUCAGUACUUCAAGAACUGCUCCAAUCUUCUUUUUUACUUGUUUACAACGCUUACUCUCCUUAUCACAAAACUCCCUUUACACACACACUCCAGCUUCAGAUUCUCUACCAUAUAUAUAUAUAUUCAAGUAUCCAUUUUUAAUGACGGUAAUAACCUUUAGCUUAAAGACAAAUAGAGAGCAAGGCAAGUGCAUGGGGAAUAAAAGUCUAUAUAACAUAACCAUAAAUUUCAAAAAUGGUUGCAAGAUGUGGCAUCGGAUCUUAACAUUUCGAUUGUAAAAGAUGUCCAAAAAAGUAGUAACUGCGUACAUGUUCACCAUUUCAGUCUUACAUGGACCAAGGUCGAACCAUACAAUAGCCAAAAGUUGAGUAAGGCUGUAAUAUCUUGCACAAACACCAUCAAUUUCACGAAGGAUAUAGAUUUUGUUUUUAGAAGCAGCAAAAUCAAAGACGUAGAACAUGGGGCUUGACAGUUGGCUGUUAUGGAUUGGACAUCUCCUUUAAGAAGUGCACUUUGCCGCCAGUGCCAAUAAUAGGCAUUCCGUAUCACCCCCAAUUCCAAAAGAAUAAAGAAUGAAAAGCUGUCUGCACUCUGGCAACAGGCGCCAGGCCGUGAGCUUGAAAUUAUUUGGGCUGGGCUGGUUUCUUAGACACGAUCAAAAUUCGAAGGAAUACAAACGAAGUACGUUAAACAAAACUCUUGGUUUGGGUCUAGACUCUAAAGCAAAUACGGUACUAAUUUCUGAAAAUGGGUCUAGAGAGGAAAUCCUAAUCCUUAACAGUUAACACGCACUCGAUCGAGCAGAGUCAAGAUUUUUCCAAGUACUUUAUUUAUUACACCAGACAGAUGGUUAAGCAACCAAGUUUAAUGAUAUCAACGAUUGCUCAAGUGUUUAAAGGACAAAGUAAAAAUGAAUCCUUGAUGCUAAGAAGCAGAAGGCAAUGGCUAUCAGAAGGGAAGUUUCACUCUUGGUAUUCAAAUUUUCUUUAUUCCCAGUAGCGAAAAGUAAAUGAGACACCAAAAUCUUUAUUUGUAUAAAUGAUAAAUUAAUAUAUAUAUAUAAUUUAAAAAAUUGUUAAACCAAAACAAAUUUGAACCAAAGAAGAUAAAAAAUGAAGUCUAGAAAUAGACGAGGAUAAAAACUAAAUUUCCUUUGCUUUUGCUUACCACUAUCCCUUGGUCUAACUGUUUUCUUUACGUACGACAAGUCUUUUUUCUCGUUCUUCUUUGUCUAUGCGGACACUCUUCUAUUUUAUUAUUGUUAUUAUUAUUAUUAGAAAGAAUUUCGUGCUUUACCACGGGUCUAUAAAUAUUUUUAAACAAUCAAUGUAAAAAAAAAAAUACAACGCGAACUGUUUUAACAUUUAAUUUUUAGUCAAAAAAAAUUAUAAUAAAUUUAAUAUUAUUUUAAAAAUAAUAAAAAAUUUAUAUUUAUAAAAAAUAAAAUUUACAUCAUCUUGUCUUUUCUUUUGCACGGAAAUUAAUGAUGAUGUAAAGUCAUGUUAAAUUUUAACUAUUAUUAUUAUUUUGUUUGACUAGAGAGAAAGAGACUUUGGCUACACAUUAAAUAAGUUUACAACGCUUUAUACAUAUAAAAUUAAAAUUACCCCUAAUUUAUACACAAAUUUCCUAACAAUACCAAUCUCUUAAUUAAAACCCCGAAAUGCCCUCCAUACAAAGACAAAUUACAAUGUCACAUGCCAUUCUCUAAAAAUCUUUUGUAUGUGAAAAUCAUAAUACUUAAAAUAAUAUUAACCACGUGGCAUCCAAAGAAUGUCACAAUUUUACAACUCUUUCUAAGUCGGUUAAGCGCCCUUUCUAAAGCCAACCCAACUCAAAUCUGGUCAAGGUUAGCGCUUCCUGUCACUCUCAAAUUCUUUAGAAUUGGAAACUGAACAAUGUCUUCAAUUUUUAGCUAGGCAUCAAUUUUAAUUUAAAAAUAUUAUCAUGCAUAUUAUUAUCAACAAUUGCAAGUAAGAUGACAUUAAAAUGUGCCCCACUCACAAUUUUCUUUGCUUUUGAAGAUGAUAAAGAAAAGGAAGGGAUGAAUUUACAAAAAACGAUAUUAAAAAAAUUAAGUUGUUUAGGAAAAAGAAGGGGGGUAGAAUUAGGUAUAUGUAAUUUAAUGGCAAUGAAAUAGAGAUUAAGUGGAACAAAAUUGACUCGGUGGUAGAGUUGUGGAAACACCUGUUUUAUUUUUUUUCAUAUUUUGGACCUUAACUCCGUGGAACAAUAUCCUACCGCUGAUGUUAUACCAACCUGAAUUAACUGUGGAAAAAAUAAUUAUAGGUGAUUUUACAUAGAGACUGGAUAAAGGCCCAUGAAACAAGGGUUUCUCAUGAAAAAAGAGUUUCUCAUGAAAAGGGCAUAAUUAAAGGGUAAAAUCAAGCAUUGUCUACAAUUAGUCAACUAUUUUUUUUCUUGUCUGCCAUUUUUGGUGUAUGUUUCUGGACUCGCAUCCAGUGACGUCAAAGCAGAACGAGGGUGUAAGAACAAGUUAGAAGAACGUCAAACAAGUUGCCUGCGACUUGGGCAACACCAUUGACUCGCAUCCAGUGACGUCAAAGCAGAACGAGGGUGUGAGAACAAGUUAGAAGAACGUCAAACAAGUUGCCUACGACUUGUGGGCAACACCAUUUUCUCGGAAUUGUGGGACGCUCUCUUUUUUUUUUUUUGUGGGCCAUACUUUGGAGUUUAUAAAAGGCCCGGCGGAUGUUGGAGGAAAAUCACGACUGAAAAUGGGCAUCAACUACUCGAGCAACCAUCACUCGCAGAGGUGAGUUCCUAUUCAGAAAUUUCGGCACCCUCAUUAUAUAUAUAGUUAGUACUACUUUGGAGUUCAGACCUUUGCCCUUUUCUAUAACUUUUUGUUUUUUCCCAAUAAUAACAACAAUCUUUCAUGGGCUAAGAUUUUUCUCUCUCUAGGAGGUGAGUGUCUCUGUGUGUGUGUGUGUGUGUAUGGUUUUUUUUGUUUGGGGAGUUUCGACUUUCAAUUUUGGUUUUGUUUUCUUUUCCAUUUGUGUUGUCCGGGGAGAGAUUAAAGCUAGAAGAUGCAAUGAAGGCAGAGUUUAAAUUUGAACACUUCUGCCCUUUUUUUUAGCUUCUUAGUUUCAAAUUAAGGUUGUAUUUGUGUCAUACCCUUUGUUUUUAGCUUCUUUGUGUCCUGUUUAGUGAAGUUAAAAAAGCUUACUUUGGAUUCCACUUUGGUCUUGAAAGAAUCUGUUUUUUUUUCUUCUUUAAGCAAUGAAGGCUCUGUUUGGUUUUGCCGCAAAUGUAAGAAAAAAUGAUUCUUUUUAACCGUGGGAGGUUAGAGUCCGAAUCAAGAUUUUGCUUUCUUAGUUUUCUCGGCUGCCAAACGGUGAACAGAUGUGCGGUUUCUAGUUGAAGAUUUUGAGGGAAGCCCCCACUCUGUGACCAAACCCCUGACUGCUUAAGCAUUAUAUAAACAAAUUCUUUGUGGACAAAUUAUGGCCAAAACGUGUUACUUUUUACUUAAAGUGUCUCCUUUUAUUGAGAAAAAAAAAAAACGACAAUCUUUCAGGUGUUUUAAUCAUAAUCCUCUGUCUCAAAGUAUGACUUUUGCCUCACUAAGUCCAUCUCAUUUUUUUCCCCUGUCCACAGAGAAAACGAGGAAGGACAAAAUUGCUCAAUCAAGUUCCAUGGCGUAAUUGUGUUUACCAUUAAUAUAUCGUGCACCCUCCUCCAAACAAAAUAUCAAGGAAGAGACGAGUCUCCUUUCGACACUCACUAUUACCACAUAUUAACCUUUUUUGUUAAUCUCUGCGUUUAUGCUGUGGCAUUGGUCACUAAAAUGAAUCUCCCAACUACAAGCACAAGUUCCCAUCUCAUUGCCAACGCCAUUAGUCAAUUCUCUGGAGCUCUCGCAUCAGUUACGCUUCUUUUAAUCCUCGUCCCGCUUCUUGGGUGGCUUUGUUUGGCCCUCUGGAUUAUUUGCCUUUUCAGGGCUGCUAAAAAUUGCUAUUCAGAAUUCUUGAUGUGGUUUUACCAUACUAUUUUUCUUAUGUUCCAAAUAUGGAAAUCACUAUUGAGUCGAAAAUUGCUACUCAACCGCCGCUUGAUGGAGGAAGAAAGGAGACUGCCGAUCUAAAAUCUUACUUCUUCAGGUCUUCAAUCUCAUUUUCAUGUAUCAUCGCUUGUUAAAAAAUCUCAUAAGAUUUAUCUUAUCUUACUAAUACCACAAGUGAAAUUAAUAAAGCAAAUCCAUCUUACACUUGGAUUUGGAUCAAAAUCUAUAUGUAUCUGAAGUUUUAGUUUACUAUAUUGUUGUUAAAUUAUAAUACUUAAUGUAAAUGAAGAUACUAUUGAUUGGAGUCUUACUUCUCCCCAUAUCAAAUGACUGCACAAACUUAGGGAGCACGAUCAUUAUAAUAUUAUAUUUCAAGAUAAACUCUGUAUUUACUCCUUAGGAGCACGACCAUUAUACUAAGGAAGUGCUAUGGUCACAACAUAUUAUUCGAUGAUACUCGGCCCACCCUUUCAGAUCAGCUGCCAAAUAGACGUAACAGCUGCAUACUUAUCAGUAGAAAUAAGCAAUUUUGAUGCAUUUUUGUCUUUCCCUUCUCCCUUUUGGUGGCAAACCUGCUACCAAGGUACAGGGUUGUUUAUCCACGUAGGAGGCAAGCGAACACACUCCAGCCCUCUUAAUUCUCUACCAUACAAUCAAGCAUGCAUCCUUAAUGACAGCAAUAACCUGUAGCUUAUAAGACAAACAGAGAGCAUAAGGAAGAGUCGAGUCUCUCUUCAACACGCACUAUUGCCAUAUGUUGGCCUUCCUUGUUAAUCUUUGCAUAUAUAUUGUGGCACUGGUCACUAAAAUGAAUCGCCCUGCUACAAGCACAAGUUCCCACCUCAUUUUCAACGAAAUUAGUCAAUUCUCUGGAGCUAUUGCAUCAAUUUUGCUUCUUUUAAUCCUUGUCCCGUUUAUUGGGUGGCUUUGUUUUGCUUUUUUCCGGGCUGUUCAAGAUUGCUAUCCAGAAUUCUUAAUGUGAUUUUACCAUACUAUUUUGCAUAUGUUCCAAAUAUGGAAAUCCCUAUUGAGUCGAACAUUGCUACUAAGUUACCACUUGAUGGAGGAAGAAAGGAGACUACCAAUCUAAAAUCUUAUUUCUUUAGGCCUUUAAUAUCAUACUCAUGUAUCAUAUUUAUUGGCUGUUAAAAAAUCUCAUGAAAUUUAUCUCAUCUUACUAGUAUCACAACUAAAAUUAAUGAAUAUACAUAUAUAUUCAAGAUAAACUCUAUAUUUACGCCUUUGGUCACAACAUAUUAUUUGACAAUACUCAUACCACCCUUUUCAGAUCAGCUGCAAAAUUGACCGAACUGCUGUAUAUUUAUCAGUAGAAAUAAUCAAUUUUGAUGCUUUUUUGUCUUUCCCUUUUCCACAAACACCAUAAAUUUCAUGAAGACUCUAGAACAUGGGGGUUGGAAAAACAAAGACGUAGAACAUGGGGAUUGGCAGUUGGCCCUUAUGGUUUGGACAUCUCUUUUGGGAAGUGGACUUUGCUGCCAAUAAUAGGUAUAUUUGUAAAAAUGGUCUUACCUAUUUUAUCGGUUCAUUUUUUAUUAAAUAUGAGAUGAGUUGAGUUUGAAAAUUUAAAUUUAUAUUAAAAUUGAACUUAAAUGAGUUAGCUCAUCAAAUCAGUGAGUUGAGGUGGGCUAGAGCGAGCCAGCUCUGUAGAUUAAAAAAAUUAAUAAUUUUAAUAAAUUUAAUAAUUUUAUAUAUUUAAUUAUAUAAAAUUAUUAAUUUAAUUAUUAAUAAUAUUACUUAUUUUAUAUAUUUCAAUGAGUUUAAUAUUUACUUAUCAAAUUCAUAAUUUUAAUUUAUAAAUUAAAUUAUAAAAUAAUUUUACUAAUAAAAAAUUUAUUAAGUAAAAUUAUAAAAAUAAUUAAAAAAAAAAAACUGACCCAACCCAACUCAUGAGUUAGCAAUGAGUGAACUGGGUUGAGAUUUUGAUGACUUAUAGCCUAAUUUAUAUUUUUUUAACUCACAAGGGUUUAGGUUAGACUGGACCCAUAUUGGCAACUUUUGUAAUAAGCAUUCCCUAUCACCCCCAAUCCCAAAAGAAAAACAAAUAUCAAUUUCUGAAAAUGGGCCUAGAGGGCUUAUUCUACUACUUAACAGAUAACAGGCACUUGAUCGAGCAGAGUCAAGAUUUUUCCUACUACUUUUAUUUAUUAUACCUGACUGUUAAGCAGCCAUCUUCAAUGACAUCAACACCCUGUUCGAUUGCUCAAGUGUUCAAGGACAAAGUAAAAAUGAAUCCUUGGUGCUAAGAAGCAGAAGGGGAUGGCUGUCAAAAGGGAAGAUUCUCUCUUGGUAUUCAAAUUUUCUUUAUUCUCUGAAGUGAAAUGCAAAUAAGGGACCAAAAUCUUUAUUUGUAUAAAUGAUAAAUGUAUAUAUAUAUAUAUAUAUAUAUAUAUAUAUUGCUAGUUCUUUUUUUGUUAUUUUGUUAGAACUAUUUUGUCGACUCUUAUCGAUUGAGCUUGUGUCUUUCUGUUUAGAUAAUUGAAAUGAUGUACGCAUCCAAGUCAAAAUAGGAAAAAGUCGCUACGACUCCGUUUUGUCAAGUGUCUCUCUCUCUCCUUUUCUGUCUACGUACGCGGAAUACUGCGCCUCCUCCUCCCAAUCAUUCUUAUUUCACUUUGAUUUGACAGUGGAUCCACCUUGACUAAGACUUAAAAAUAGUUAUUUACUUAUUAUUUUAUUCCCAAAGAAAUGGUACAAAAGAUGCGGCAAAUGACGGUUUGCAGAAAGAUUAGACAGUUUCCUCUCAGAACCCAUGUAAAGUAAAGCAGUGGCAGAGCAAGACAUAGAAUUCAGGGAAGGAAAGUCUGAAGUGACGAUGUGCAACAACGACUCAACCAACCAUCACUCCCAAAGGUCAGUUGCAGAUUAGCAAUUUCAGAAUCCUUAUUAAUUACUGCUAUUUUAGAGUUCCGGCCUUACCCAUUUCUAAAACUUUUUUUCCAAUAAUAACAACAAGCCAUCAGGUGUUUUAAUCAUAAACCUCUAUCUCAAAGCAUGUUUUUUUCUUCACAAAAUGCAGCUAAUUCUUUCACUGUCUGACAGAGAAAACGGGGGAGGACUAAAUUGCUCCAUCAAGUUCCAUGCUGUAGUUGUGUUUACCAUUAAUACAUCAUGCACACUCCUCCAGACAAAAUAUCAAGGAAGAGACGAGUCUCCUUUCGACACCCACUAUUGCCAUAUGUCGACCUUCUUCGUUAAUCUCUGCAUAUAUGUUGUGGCAUUGGUCACUAAAAUGAAUCUCUCAGCUACCAGCACAAGUUCCCAUCUCAUAUUCAAUGCCAUCAAUCAAUUAUCUGGAGCUCUUGCGUUAGUUAUACUUCUUUUAAUCCUCGUCCCACUUAUUGGAUGGCUUAGUUUUGCCCUCUGGGUUGUUUGCGUUGUCUGGACUGCUAAAGAAUGCCAUCCACAAUUCUUAAGAUGGUUUUACCAAACUGUAUCUCGUAUAUUUAAUAUAUGGAAAUUAUUACUAGGACGCCGCUUGAUGAAGGAGGAAAAGAGGCUCCCCAUCUGAAAUCUUACUUCUCUAGGUCCUUAAUAUUAUAUUCAUGUAUUAUCGGCUGCGAAGAAAUCCCAUAAGAUUUAUCUUAUCUUGCUAGUACGGAAAGUAAAAUUAAUAAAGCAAACACUUGAAUUUGGGUCAAAAUAAAUAUGAAGUUCUAGUUUAGUAUACUGUUGUUAAAUGAUAAUACUUAAUGUAAAACAAGAUAUCAUUGUUUGGAGUCUUAUUUCUCCCAUAUCAAAUGGCUGUACAAACUUUAUAUUAUCUUUUUCUUCAAGAUAAAUUCUGUAUUUACGCCUUGGGGAGCACGACCAUUGUAAUAAGGUAUUGCUAUGGUCACAACAUAUUAUUAGAUGAUAACUCAGACCACCCUUCAGAUCAGCUGCAAAAUUGACGCAAUUGAUCAGUAGAAAUGACCAAUUUUGAUGCAUAUUUGUCUUGCCCUUUCUCCCUUUUUGUUGCAAACCCGCUACCAAGGUACAGGGCUGCUCUUUCAUGUAGGAGGCAAGAGAACACACUCCAGCCUUGUUAAUUCUCUACCAUACAAUCAAGCAUCCAUCUUUAAUGACAGCAAUAACCUGUAAGCUUAAAAGACAAACAAAGAGCAAUGCAAGAGCAUGGGGAAUAAAUGUCUACAUAGCAAAACAUAAUUGAAUACCUUCAUAACAAUAACAGCAUCUCAUACAAACGAACUUGCAACUCUUUGCACGCUUUGAACUUGACAAUCACCUCAGCUCAAAACUAUGAGCUCGGCAGACUUUCCCUUCAGAAGUUGCAAAAAAAUUGAUGCAAAGGACAAAUCUGCUUUUAAAAAUUUGUCCUGAAAAGAAAAAGAAUUCAUUGAAUCUCAAAGAAACAGCAAAUUAAAAUCAAAAUCUCUAUGAAAUUUUUCCUACCUUUGAGCCAAUCCCUGGAUUGGCCUAACAGAAAAUUGAUCACCUUAGAGCCCAUUCCCAAGGACUUUCAGUGAACAAUCAAGUCCCAAAGCUCCCAUUGUGUGAAGACUUCAACUUUACAUCAGUAAUGUUAGCAUAAGAAUGUUUCUGAUAAGCCAAAAUUAUAUAUUUCCAACUAAGCAACAUUAUUAUCAAGGGGCAAAAGAAUACCUUCCGGACAGAUAAGAUUUCCCAAACAACUAAAGCCCCUAUGAUAAAUUCAUACUUGGGAUGAUUUUUUGAAGCAUUCUGCAUGGUGGGUUAAAACAUGAAUUGAUGUUACUUGAUAGGCAGGUAAGCUCGUUCUCCAGUGUAGAAUAGGCCUCUGAAAAUGCCUGCAUUACAAAAUAUUUUAUAUAUAAGACAUAAAAAAGAAAUGUAAUGACCACACAAAUUUUCUGGGAAAGCAUCUUCUUUUAAUAGUUGUUAUCCCAUGCUGUAAACAGUUAGAGAUUAAUGCUACCAGAAAGAUUAUGCUCACAGAUCUAGGUCAACAAUUCCAUAGAGUAGUAAGCUAGCUAAGGCUUUACUUGCUAAACGUGUCAAUGACUUCCCAAAACUUUUCUCUUGCUACUAGUUUCUAGAAGGCCAAUAUGCACCUUAAUUGCAAAGAUAUUCAUGCUUCAAUCUACUAAUUCUUUUCUCAGAAGCAGGUAAAAUAAGUAUUGUUCUCCCUUCCUCCUCCUUAAAGCUAUGGUAAAACUUAAAUGAAACAUUUUAUUUAUUACAAUAAAAAAAAACUUUUUCGACAUUCAGAAGCUGUAUAUCAACCAUGAGUCAACAUUUAGAAGCAAAUUUAAGUUUUAUCAUACAGUGGGUCAAUAAUAAAUGUAAAGACAAUAAUCAUGCCAGGGCCAGUUCCGUAAAAGCUAAUAAAUCGAAAUGAAAUAUCAUCCUGACCUUGAUACACUGAUGUAUCCGAAAGCAAUUUCUCCCCACAUUAUUUGUUGGAAAAAGAGGAUCAUCAAUGUGUAUAGGAUCAAUGCUACAAAAGAAGCAUCAAAUCAUCAGCAUUCAGUAGCAUCCAAGUUAUAAGCAGUUCCCAGCAAAAGAAAAUAUUACUAUUACCUAUAGCCUCUCUCUCUGUUUAUAUAUACUCCACUUCCCUGCACAGAAAUUUGCAUUUGUCGGGGAUCAAACACAUUCCUGUACCACCAGAUAUUGAAAUAAUAAAUCAUUAAUGUUCAUAAAUAUUUUACAGUAAGACACCAGUUGGGUAAAUAUUUUCAACUACCAUAGAAAUGAAAAAAACAUUCAAGGCUUUCAACUCACCCAAAAAAGUAAAGAAAAUCCAUCAGAAGGCUUCCAAAAUUCUGCAAGAAACAUUGAGUUCAAAUUAGGCAAAAGCACUUGUUUAUUGCAAGCAGCACAAAAGAGAAACAGAUAACACAAACUGAAAGAGAGAAUAAAAAAUUUCAAGUCACUGAACGAAACCAAAGGUCAAUAUUCUUUCUACAACAUCAUAAACCAUACUUCAAUUGUCUAAUCAAUCAUCUAAACUUGCCAGUAGAGGGCCUUUCUGUUCAUCCCACCAAAGUUUUUUCCCUCAAAUGGAUGGCAAUCGUAAGUACAAAAAAUACAAAUUCUGUAAUAGCAUUGGUGUAGCAUUGGGCAUCGAGUAAGCUCUGAAUUAAACAUUCAUCGAGUAUAGUUACAUUUUCACCUCCCACGUCCACAUUAAACCACCUUAAAACAGCACUACAGGUUUAAUCUGAAGAUUAUAAUUCAAUAUAUCAAUGUUGAAUCAAAGAAUAAUUUUCACCCUCACUACUGAAAACCAUUUGAAACAGAUACUUCAAUCCCAAUAGUAAUAGAAACAGAAAAUUUAUAGCAGCCUCCUCCAAUAAAGGGAAAAAUGUCAAAGAUAAUUGAAAGUUAUGAAAACAGUUUAAGUGCUAAGUUACUUGGUUGAUAGGCCGUCCAAGAUGAUGCUCAUGCUGUAGAAAACGUGUAAUAAGUAACACCUACAAGAAGCACGAAACAGCAAGGGAGUAAAUACAAACCCAAUGAAUUUAUUCACUGAUAAAUAAACUGUCCUGACCAGUAGCAGAUUAAAGUGGAACUUCAGUAAACACAUGAAUAUCUAUACAAAAAUUAGCAGAAUGCUAUGAAGAAUUCCAGUGUCCUCUUUAAUAUUUAUUUUCCAAUGAAAUAUGUUGCUUGAACAAUCAAAAAAUGGAAGUCCACAUUCAUUUACAAAAGGAAAUUUGCCUUCAGAACAUAUGGCAUGUUAACCAAAUUAUAACUUACUAGGUUAUAAGUGAUCAAGAAGCUUAUGGUAACUGACAGCACAUUUAGGACUAUAAAAUCUUGUACUGAGCUAGGAACAAACAAUAUGGUAUAUCUGAUUCCGGAUUACUUGUAUCGUUUCCAAUGCCUAUAAACAUUCUGUCUUACACAGAUUCCUUAAAUCUUGCAGCUCAAAAUUGAAUGGCAGAAAGUAUUCGGGUAAUGGCUCAAGUAGCUGGAUCUAAAGUUACAUUGAGCUUUAUCAACUGAGCUGCUAUUAAGCUUAUAGCAAGUUUCAUGUGAUUAAAUUCAGAAUUAGUGUAUAGUGUACAUAGCUGCACAGCCAAUGCUCCUCCAGCUUAUAAUUGUUAAGAAACUCAAAGUAAACCAACAAACACAGCUAGGAGAGAGUUCUCUUAAACCUUAGACUAUUUAGCUAGUCUGUAGGAAGAUCUUCAUCUCACGUGUAGUAUGUAAAUAGACUUGCAGACACAUAAGCAGGACAGUUGAAUCAUAAUUUUCAACUGUAAUUGGUUAGAAUCAACAUCUCAGUUCAUUUCUAUGCCCAAACAUCACUCACCAGGCAAUAUGAACUUAAGCCACCAGAGUAGGACUGAUCCAGGCUACGAUCUGCUAAGAACUGUUUUAGUACCAAAGCAAGAGGCAUAGCAGCUGGAAAUUGCUCAGUCAGCUCCCUCACCUGCAAAGAACAAAUUGAAAUUUAUAAAAUAAUUUUAAAUCAGAAAUAGAGCAAAACACCUGAAUCUAAUAUGUAGAAAUUUAUAAUUGAUUGAUGAGACUCUGAAAUAGGAAAUGCCCCAAAAAACAAAUUAAGAAGAAGAAAAAAGGAUUGAACACCCUAAAGUUCAUGUACCAACUAUGUCCUAAAUGUACAGACAUUUGUCUCAUUCCUACAUAAACUGCACUCUAAAACUUUAAGGACCAUAAAGUUAGAAAACAUUUGUAUAAGAAACGUGAAAAAAGCUUGUAACGCCACUGAUGGUUACUCAAUAAGCUUAUUCUGAAAUCCAACAUGGACAAAAUAAGCCCCUUCCUGAUAACAUCCUUCAUUAGGCAAUAGUUAAACAAAUAUUCUCCUCAAUUUUCCAGGAAAGAGGCUAUUAUUUAGCAAUAGAAUCAUGUCACAGGCUCCAACGUCAGACGCAAUUCAAAAGAUUAUGUGAAGUCAAAUUCAUGUAAAAGAUUACCAGUUCUGUAGUUUGGAGUCCUGUAUGUGAUGGAGACUUGAAACUGAUGUCUAGACGAACUGAUUUGACAUCCUUCAUAUUACCAUAACUUAUUUUUGAACACUUAGGUGAAGCAGAGUCUUCUAAGCCAACAGUAUCAGAAUGAGCAUGGUUGCCACGUUCAGCACUCUUCUCUAUUUGCUCAUCUGUUGGUGAUUGUAGAUUAGAGGCCGCAGAAGUGAUUAGGUCAUCAGGAACUUCUACCACAAGCAUAAUAAUAGGAAUCUGAAUGCCAGAGAGAUAACAUUGUGAGAAAAGAGAUGGAAAGAAAGAAGUAAAGCUAGAAUGAAGAAAGAAUCUAACAAGAAAAGGCAUUACAGCUGUAUUUUCCACAGUCUUCAGAGAAUCAUUCUUUACCCACUCCUGAUUGGCAAGAUACCUGGCAGCAUGCUGGAAAACAAAUGUAACAGUUUCAAUCUUCUAAAAAGGCUAUGCCAAAAUAUCAGAUAAUGACAGCAAUUUCCCAGAAGUAUUUUGCAGGGGAAAAACAAGUCCACACACACACAAGGUUCACGCAAGCCAUACAAUAGUGCACCAACAACUAAUUACAAUGGCUGGAGGGGUAUCAUAAGUUAUAUUGCAUAUAGAAAGGAACAAGGGAAAAUGCAAAUGUUGCUGGCACAUUAAUCAGGAAGACCAAAACGUCAAUGUAAAUAACAGGAACCUAAUACUGUAUAACAAAAUCAAGUAUUCCUAAUUCAAUGUCUACCACUUGGUACGUACACCAGAUUUAUCGUAGCCUUUGAAACACUUCAAGGAAUGUAUGAAUAUGCCUUUUCUAAAGAAAAAGGGAGAAAGAGAAUAACAUGUGCUCAACAUUUUUAGAAGAACACUAUGAUAUUUCAAUUUCUAUUAACUCAUAAAAUGACUAAUUUGAAAUAUCAAGAAAAUGAGACAAUAAGUUCAAACUACAGCACAACCAAUUACAAUAAUACUAAUACCUGAAGACAAGUUUCUUUAAUACCAUUACGUCCUUCUAAAAUCCCAGCUUCUUUGAUAGGUUCCUAAAAACAAUGUUUGCAGAUGAGUUUCUUGCCAUAAAGUAUAAGCAUACGAUCAACAUAAUAACACAUGAAGCACUCACCAGAUUCCUUACUGGAGGAAGACAAACCACAAGGUCUACAUCACUUGUUGGAAGAGAUAAGCCGGUUGCACUUGAACCAAAGACAUUUGUCCUUGACCUAGGCCAUAGGACUUGGAGAGACCUUGUAACCCGCUUGACAGCCCAAUUAAUGUAUGGCUUACGAGCCAUAUUCUCUGCUGCAACCUUAAACAUGAACACAUCAUACAAAUAGUCAGCAAUGUAACAAGGCCCAGCAAAUAAUGCAUAAACAACAGACAGGGAAAAAAUCCUUGUGCAAAAUAAUGUUCAAGAUCAUGGAAACAAUAAAUUUGGAGGAAAAACAGGAUCAAUCAUUCGCUUUUUCCUUUUCUUCUUUAUUUUCUAGGGACCAAUAAACUGCUUACCUGCUUGCAGAAAGAUUCAAUUUCAUCAUUAAGGAGGCUGUGUAUUGAAGAGAGAGAUGCCUUUCGUGCUGGGCAGCUCUGUAACUCAGGUGGUUGCAGAGGAAAUGACACAUCUGGCUGCAGAAUAAUCACAUAAAUCUACAAAUUUAACACAUAAACCAUAACUUCAGAUUUGAUAUAAUGCUGGUGCUAUACUUACAUGUUCCUGAUCACGAGCCAGCUGAGACAUUGCAAUCAAAUGGUCUUGCAGCAAAGCACCAGGUAGAGGAUGGAUCAUUGGAUGGGCUGAAAGACUCUUACUUCUCCAAGAAGGCCAAACAACUUCAGUACCAUCCAUGCGAACACAAGCUUCCUCCGAGUUAGUUCCAUCAUGGUACAGACCUCUCAUACCCCAAUGUCUUGGGCUAGAGCUACCAGAUCUAACCGUUGGAAAACCCCUCUGUUUCCUUGAGUCGUUUACAGGAGACGGUGGUGGUGGACGUGGAGCUCGUGGAACACACAGCACAACCGGUGACGGAGGCCGUUUGAUCCGAGGUUGCUCCCGCCUAGUAGGAGGAACACAAGGGCUCUUAUGAUCAUGACCACGCUUAAAGUCAGAUCUUGACCUCUCCCUUGAUAUGUUUGGAAUGAUUAUAGGACGCAAAAUGGGGUAAGGAAGUGAAUCCCCUGUUUUCCCUUCAACAUCACUAGAUAAAUUGGCCAAAGAUCCAGAGGCUUCCUCCUCUGUUGCCGCAUCAGGUGUAGGUGAUGGAGAAUGCAGCACUUUGCCAGGCACAUCAUUUCCUGGCACAACAUAACUAACUGCCUGGUGUCCAGGACCCAAAGGUUCAAAAGGGGAACAAAAUGGAGCAGCAGUUGGAGAAGUCAAACCGUUUGUACUAUAAGAUGAAGAGAAAGCAACCAUGUCAUCAACAGCCCUACUCAUGUCUGCUUCAUGCCAGGCCCAUGAGCUGUCAUCAGAGCUAAGGGAUGGAGGUCUAGAAAAACCAGUCCCUGGAUGAUCAGAAGGAUUCCAAUACAUCACACCCCCACCAAAGUAUUGAUUAUAAUCUAUACCAGAAACUGCAUGCACCUCAAAUUCUUCCUCUGAUAUCCAGUGGCUAUCACAUUCAUCAGCAAGUUCUACUGUAUUUGCCAGAUCUGGCAAGUCAAAGAAAUCCCCAGAAUACUUUCUCUCAUCAUCAAGGUUCUUUGUAUUAAACUGAAAAUUUUGAGACGCAAAACCCUGCUGAAAAGCUGUCUGUCGCCUUGAGAUAAAUCCAGAGCCAUAAUUGCAAGUAAUUGGUGGUGUCAAUCCAGAAGCACUGCGAACCAUAGGGGGCCAAUCUAAACUCAUUGGCAUUGGGCGAGAUAAGAUUCGAUUGCACCCACUUUCAAUCUGAGGAUUUCUUGCCUGAUGCAUGGUGGGCACAAAAGGUUGGCGGAUGUGAUUGUGCCAAUUGUGACCAACAUCUAGGUGCAAUCUAUCAGUGGCAGCUGGAACAUGUGAAUUUAUAGAAGGAAAAUAAAAGGGAGCUACACUAGGCCACUCAUAUGAAAGGCAUUGAGGAGAGCUUGUGGGUGCAGUAUCAUAAAGUUUUUUAUCUUGCACCUGAAUCACAGAAACUUCCUCUUUAACAUCAAGUGUAUUCCCUGAUGCAUCAGGAGAAGUUGAAUUUUCCUGAAUUUUACUUGCACUAUGAGAAUUUUGUAAGUUGAUGCCUUCACCAGUGAAAACACUAUCAGAUUCUGGCACAGGGAUAAUCGGAGGCAAACGAUUACAUUCUACCCUACAAUUUGAAUCCUCUUGUCCAGUAGCAAUAAAUUCAUUCUCAGUUACAUCUUUUGAGUAAUCCUCUUGUCCGGUGGAACCAACCUCAGGAUCUUGCACGUGCAUGGCAAUUUCCUCCCUGAAAGGCUGAUUAUGUGGUCUAUUAGGACUUGAAUUUGAUUCAAGGACGUUGCUCUGGCUCAUUGUAUCAGUUGGCACACCCUGUAUGUUUAAAUUAUCCAAUACACCACUGGAAUUUGUUGCCUCAUCUUGAAAAAUAAAAGACGAAGUGGAAGCCUCUAUGACUGCCUUCUUGGAAGUUUUAAGUUCAGUCGUACCAUUGACGCAAGUGUGUUUGUUUUUAUUCUUUUCCUUCCGACUCUUCCUUGCUGCAGCUCGUCCUUUUCCACCAAUCAAUGAUUGGGUAUGUUCCUGAUGACAGAGUACCAGUUAUGCAAGUAUUUAAAAUUUAAAUAAUUAACAAGAGAAUACCAUCCAAAAGAAAAGCUGUGUGACCAUUUCCAUUUGUGAUGGAGUUUUUCUGUUAACAUCUUUCCCAUGAGUUAUAACAGGCAUCUUGCUGGACUCCUUCAAAUCUGCUUUCUUAUUAUUAGUUGAUACAGAUUCAAGAUCCUGACAUAUUACUAGAAACAAUUAAAAUAAAAUUGCUCAACACAUAUAAAUGAACACAAAAACACAUCUAGAAGGGUUUCAAUAUAAAGAAAAAAGUACCUUGAGAGGUUUUUCUGGCAGAAGGUCAUUCACCUCUGCCUUCGCCACAGGAAUUUGCUUUUUUAUGUUUCGGGACCUUCCCUUUUUCUUACGGCUACAUGCACUGAACUUAUCCUUGGAUUUAUCGGAUGAAGAGUUAAAAUUUCCUUCUCCGAGAAGUUCAAGUUUUGUGCAAUCAAGUGAAAUAACCAUGAGAAUGUCUCGCAGCUUUCUUAAUAUACUAUCAGUAAAGGUACUUAUAGAACCUAAUGCACUAAAAAACACCUUUCCCAUAUCACACUUAUUAUGAUAUGAUAGCACCAAAGUAACAAUAUCCUGAAGCACAAAUAAACUACUGAAGACAUUGGUUAGGGAAUUAGGUUUUCCAAAACGAGAACCAGCUGUAAUAAUUAUGCCAAAUUCUGCAUCCUCCAGGCGUUUUGGGAUGGUACCCAGCAGUGGUUCACUAUAAUUGUACCUCAUUGGUUGUUCUGCUCCUCCACUAAAAAGCCACAUUUCAUCCUCUGAGGCACUACCUGCUGCAUUCAGAACCUCAAGAGUCUGAAAGCCCAAAUUAAAUAAAAAGUAAGCCUCAUUGUUCACAAAAUUUUCAAGAGUAUGUAAAAUAGAUAAUAAUUGUCAAAAAUUACAAAUGAUCCAUGUGCGAGAAAUCUUUAAAAAUAUUCUAUAUACAUUGCAUUAGUAAAUCAAACUAAAGAAAGAUCCAAGCAUAACACAUUGGAGCAACACAUACAAAUUUAUCUUUGUAUAAAAGAUUACAAGCGAAGCCCCAACAAGAUAAAACGGGAAACUAUAAAAGGAAGGUAGAACUACAAUUUAUAGUUCUUCUCAGCUCUUACAACGAGUUUAUAUAAUUAAUUUACCCUUAACCAGCCCACCAUGUUUGAACCUCCUCUCUCUUAACAACAGAAAUUACUCCAGAACUCAACCAAAACAGUAAUUUUAGUCAUUAAUAACCAAAUUAAAACAGGGUUCAUAAUUCACAAAAAUUUCUCCUUUUGUUAACCACACUUAAUAAUGGCAAUGUCAUACAAUAAAAUACAUCAAUAAAAUGAGCAUUGAGAUAACAAAGUUUUAAACAAUACCAGGGAUUUAGCAGCUUUUCCAAUAAUUGCAGUCAAUACCUUCCUCCUUGUUGCAUCACCCAAAUUUACCCACCAAUCCACGCAUCCUUUCUUCCUCCAAUACACAUUUGCUGCUACCCCUGCGGCAUUCACCUUCUCUUUCAAUUUCACCCCUCUUCUCUUCCCAUUAUUAAAAUUCAACCACGCCAACCUCAACGCCACCUCUAAUCUAUUUACCAAAAAAGCCUCUAUACUAUAAUACCCUUUUGAUUUUAACCACUCUAAUUCAAUCCAAUCCGAUCCCAAUUCGCUCUGUUCCCCUCUCAGAAACGCACCGUUCGAUACUUUAUCCAUGGUUUCAACAAACAGUUCCACAUUUUCAACGAACUCUUCAGUCACCGUCAUCGAAUCGAGACUACUCACCGAACACGAACACUCGUCGAUUUUUUCACCUUCUCUGGAUCCGAAAAACCGAACCGACUCGAAAACCCGACGUUCCGACACGUUGGACUCGGCAACCCUAGAGAGGAGGCAGCGUGAUUGCUUGUAACAGAGGCCGGGGAGGAAGGGAGGAUCACGUGAGGGAAGGUCGGGGAGAAUAAUGAAGAAGCCGUGGCCACGCGUACGGAGCUUCCCCAGCAUUUGGAUAAGGAGCUGGGUGAACUUGAAAUCGACGGUGGUGAGGUGCGCUUGACGUUGAUGGACGGUGAGAGAUGAGAACCAUUUGAGGAUUAAAGACCUCGGAUUGUUGUUAGGGUUAGGGUUGGGAUUUUGGGAGAGGGAAUGGGAAUGGUAGAGGGAGAUGUGAGAAGUGAGUGAGUCGAUGACUUGGUUCUGAGCCAUGAGCGAGUUGGUCAGCGAAUUGGAUAACUGUUUGCGAGGGAAAUUAGGGUUUGAUUGGGACAUUUCUUUUCACUUUGUUUUUAAUUUUAUUUUCUUGGUCCGUCUCUCUCGUCGGUUUUUCUUCUGUAGCAGAAGGACUAGGGAGCUUUAGACAAGAAUGUAGGAGAGAGGAAAAUGGCGAAGACAGGAGACGCUUGAGAGAGAUUUGCGGGUAAUGUUAAAACCAGGUAUCCGGAUCCGGAUUCUCACCUGCGAAUAUGCUGCGGUGUCUUUACUUUAACUGACUGCUGCCUGCUGACUAGUAAAAAAGUUCCACGUCAGCGCCUUUCCGCCGCAUUUUGAGACAUACUUAAGAGGAAAGACAUCAAAUGGUUGGAAUCUCAAGACAAAGAUAAUGACAAAUAAAAAUUUAAAUAAUCUUUUAAUUGUAAUAAAAAUUUAACUAUUUUUAGACUUAAUGCCCGAGCUUAUGUAAUUAAAAACUUCACUUUUAAUUAAAUUAUCAAUUAUUACGUAAUUACAUCAAUUUAUCAAAUCAUAUUUUACAUAAAAAGAAAUAAAUGGUUGGUAUGACAUUUAACAACCAAUAAAUUUUUAUUAGGAUUAAGAAUUUAGUUGGAAUUAAAUAAAGUUCAAAACUCAUUUAAACGUAAUAAAAGAUAAAAAAAUUAAAUAAAUAAAUUGUCAUAAUACAAAGAUUUUCUUUAGAUUUAAAUCAAAUAAAUAUUUAAUAUUUGACGAUUAAAUUGUUUGUGUCUAUACCUUGUCGGUACUUUGAAGUGUGCAUAAUUUUGUUGCCUUAAUCCAAAUUUUAAUUACAAAAAAAAAAAAGACAACUUCUUCAUCUGCUCUAAUUUUGCACAUGAUCUCUACUAAUGGAAGGCCAGCUCUUUCAUGUUGGGCUUGAAGUCUGUUUCAUAUGAGUCGGGCACUAAAACCAUUUCCCUGCCAACACCAACGUCCAAAUCCAAGCCAAUCACCGACUCCCACAGAAAAACAGAAGGAAAUCUGGGAUCUCAAUCGUUCACUGUCUCACCCCAAGUGCAAAAGUUAGAGUUUCUGUCAUCCAUAUUUCCUGUUUGGUUCAAUGGAACACUGUGUAGUUCCUGGUUUCUACUCUACCGCCAUCAAAUCAAUAUGAAAAAGAAGAAAAAAAUGAGCAAAACAGGGACAAGAAGAAGAGACCACUCGGGAUUUUCUUUGCCAAUAUGGUUAUAAAAAGCAGCUGGAAUUACAUGCCAGGAUAUACAGAUAUCAGGCACAGACAUUAGAAAUUGUGAAGGACUCCUAUCCUAUAGUUCUUCAACUCUACAUCUAAAAACAAGAAUCAGUUCAAGUGAAUAAGACUUCCAAUCUCUUUGUCUGUACAAAACUGUUACCGGCGUCACUUGCCAAGAAGCAGAAAACAAGGAUUUUGUUAACCUGUCAACCCACAAAUUCAUCUCAGGAAAAAUCCAUGUCUAGUGGUGCACCCCUUCUAAGUUUUUCUUGCAAAUCCAUCUGCUUUGGCAAAACAAUUUCGAUGUCCUCACCAGACAUGGCAAAGUAUCUCUCUAGUAAUAUCUGCAGAGGGUGAAAUAAAGAGGGAUAACAAAACAGAAACGACCUUGAUUCAAAUUCGAUAAUCUUCUUGAUGAAACAAACAAAAAUUAUAACCAACAUUUGGAAAAUGUGAGAAAGCUCAUCACAUACCACAGCAGCAUAAGCAUCAGAGCUUUUCUGGCGAACAGACUUGCUAAGACCCCUGGAAGAGAAGUGAAAGAAUUAUGUUCAACUGACAUGUAUCAGACUUGUAACAAUCAACAACAAUUUUUCAACACAGGGUAAUAUCCAAUUGCAAAAACUGCUCAAGAGAACAGAAGUAAAGUACAAGUUAAUCAUUCGGUAUGCAGCGUCUGUGGAUGUUCCAUGUUCAUCUUGCAGAUACACUCUCCAACGCCUGCACACAUUAUUAUACCAACAAAUUGACAUAUCAAAAGCUGAAAACAAGUGCUUUUUGAUGCAGAUUAUGUCCGUAGCAAAUCGUUCCUUGAGAAAUUUUAGGCAAAACUAAGCAAAUCCACAAACAGUAAGAGGAUAUAUGUAAGAUACUACCUCUCCGCAGCUCGAACAGCUAGCCUUCCUGCAAGGCUGCGAACUUUGUUGGAUUGAGGAGUCUCCUUUCCAUCCCAAGAUUUAGGAAGCCCAAUUAUGAAUUCAUCAGCCUCCUACAAAUUUCCUCUCCCAUUAGAGCAAAUUUUGCAUGGAAAGCUUUCAAGUAAAGCAAAAAAGCAAUUCAUUAAUACAAAGAAUACCUCAUUUUCUGCUAUCUCGAGCAGCUGUAGCUCAAGCUUUUGUCCUCUCAAUUUCAAAACCUGGAAAGAUAAGUCAGAACUAACAACAGCGUAAAACAUAAAAACCCAGAAAAGCUAAAACGUAACAAUUUGAAAGAGGUUUGUUUGCUGGCAAUAAAUAUACCGUGAGAGGACGAACAGAGAAACCUUUGCUAAGGGCAAGGCCGGUGCGGGACAAUCCCAAGUCUACCCCUAGACUGAACCCUCCUCUCCAUUGGGGAUUGCUCUUCCGGCGAAGGGCAUUCGGGGGAAAUUCUUGGACAGGAGACGACGAGGCCCUGAAUUUCAGCUUGAAAAUACAGGUUGACGUUGAGAAAAAGGGAAGAGAAGAUGGGGAUUUAGAGAGGGUUGGGUAAGAGUUGGUUCUGGAUAGAUUGAGGACCGGCUGUGAUUGCAGUUGCAGUGAACACAUUAGAGAUAAGACUAAACAGGUAGAGCUUCGAGUUUUCCAACAUCAAAGCUGAUCAGUACGAGGUUGGAUAAGUCAUCUCGUAUGUUCAGAUUACAAGUACAAAUAGUUCUUUAUUAGAGGUAAAAUCAAACUGAAUUACAAGAAAAAUUGUUACAGAAGUUGAUCUACCCGUGUAAAUGUAAGUUCAACAAAUCAAGACACAGUACGUAAUUAAAAAUUAUCGUACGAGCGUGUGAAAAGUAUGAACUCGUACAUGCUCCCUAGAUAAUCUAUAGUUUACAUAUUCUAGGUUGAUUUGUCGGACCUAUGAUUGACAUGGUAGAAAAAACCUAUAUAACCAAGUUAUUCUACAAGAGUAAUGCUACUCAUCCUCCACUUCUAUCCCUCUUGAUAAGGCACUAAUUUAUUGUAUAAAUUCAAGAUGAAAACGACCAAUUCAAUUAUGAAUGAGAAUUUUCAAGUUGAACCAAUAUAUCAUUGCCACAUUAAGAGGGACAAAUAGCAUUUUGCUCAACCUAGUAGGCUAUUUAUUUUGCUCCUCCGGCUCCUCCUCCACUUCCUCUUCUGGAUCCUCCUCUGGUUCCUCCACUUCCUCUUCAACUGGCUCCGAGGAGACUGUUUUACAUUCUGUUCCGGUAUCUUUUUCUGAUGUUGAUGACAGCAAUGGCUUGUCUCCGGUGGCUUGAUAUUCUGCUGUUGCCAAGAUGGGGUUAUCCAUGGGAGGACUGACUGCCUUAUUUUCCAAAUCUAAAGCUCCAUUCUCGGCCUUAAAAUCAAUUCCUACGGGAGGUGGAACCUCAAACUUAGCAGUGAAACAUUGUUGCUGACUCACUUCAUUCUUUUCAGGUUCUGUCUUUUGAUUCUCUGUUUUGUUAAUUCCUGCAAGUAGCGAAGCUUCAGACUUUUCCACACUAGAUUGCUGCCAAGUUUCAGCUUCUACCUUAACGGCUUCUCCCCCUCUCACUUCUGAUGUGGCUAAUGAACCUUCAGUAAACUUAUGAGGAUAAUGGUUUUCAGAACUUGAUAAUCGUGCACAUGGUGCUGCUGAUGUUGCUGCCAGUAGAGGUAACUGAGGGGCUGCUAACCCUGGGACUUGGGCUUGACUAAGGACAUAAGUCAACAGCUGAGCUAAAACAACUUGUGGGUCAGUAACGCCUUGUUGAAUUUGAGGGAUGAAGGAAGGUGAUGGAGCAUUAAAAUUAGGUGGAUAAAGUGCUUGAAGUCCUGCUUCUCCAUAUAAAGCCCGGUGCCCGUGAAACCUCUUCAGAUUUGCAAUGUGCUUUUUACCAGCCAAAUGGCUGUUAAAAACCACAUGUGAUUCACACUUGACAUUGCACAACUCACACAUAAAAGGAAUACCCCCCUUGGGUUUGGGAGGCUCAACAGGUCUUCUAGGUCGUUCAUUACCUUUCAUGUAUUUACCACCUCGUCCCCCUCUCAUCUUACGCUUGAAACCACGUCCCCGAGCUUCAGAGGCAUCCCAUAGUUUCCUUUUAGCUUUUGCAGAAUCAUUAGUUGAUGCCUCAGAGUUAUUCACUAUGUCUUUCUGCUGCUCAGUUUCUUUCUUACUGUCAUUAGUAACAGCCAAGGAGGGUGAAGUUUCCUGUUGAUGUUGUCCCUCAGAUCCCUCAACUUUCUCCAAUUGAACAACUUCUGAUCCUGAAUUGGGCACUUGCACACUUUGCUGUCCAGUUAUGACUUUGUUCAGCUUCUGCAGCUCUUCAUGUACCUGCAAGUUUUUCUUAUGUCGCUUUCCAUUCUUAUGCUGCUCCAGGAUUUCUGGUCUGUUGCAAUCAACCCUGCACAGUUCACACCAAGCCAUACGUGGAGGUGGCCAGAGUGGAGCAGCAGGCACUUCAGUUGGUAAUGCAGCUGUAGGUGGCAUUACAGCAGCUGCACCACUUGGAUCUACAGAAUUAGGAAUUGCUGAUGUCACACCAUUUGGAGGAAAGUGCCUGCUGCCACUUCGGCCACGACCCCUAUUAUAUGGAGGUGCAGAGCCAUCUGGUCUGAGGCCACGGUUACCAACAUGACCCCGGCCGCCCCCUCUAGAAGACCUACCACCCCUCCUUCCACCCCUAGAUGCAGGUUGCAUCUGUAGAAUAGAUUCGAAGAUGAGGUGCAACAUGAAAUCACAUAGGUACUAAAUUGACAGGAUGAAAUUAACAUCAGAAUAAUAAGGUUAAAUACAUUCUCAACAGAGUAACAUAAAUUAAAACCGAUCACACAGCUGUAGCAACAUAACAGAAAAUAGACAAUGGACUUACGAGUUUUGGCAACAUGCUGAUGAAUUGACCUUAUAAUAAAUCAGACAGAUGACAAGCUUAAGACUCAGAUGCAGUAAAUUGUGACGGGUUUUGGACAAUAUAAAAAACAAACAGCACAACAAGAGAAAUAUCCAAUAGUUAACGCACACAGCAAUCAUAUUAAGCUUAUAGAACACGAGCCUGUGAAUAAGCCGAAAAAUUAAAGCUACUAAAGAAUUUUUAUCAGAGAAUUUGAAUUGGGACUACAACAAUACUUGUAAGAAUGUUCACCCAAGAGAAAACUCUGAGAAAUCAUGUAUAACGCAGGCAUAAAAAGGUCUACGCACUUUAAUUAAACAAAAAUGCUAUAAUGUACACAAAAGCAAAUAUUUCAAGGAGGCCAGAAAGAAGAAGAAGAAGAAGGAAGAAUAAGCUGUUCAAAGUCAUAGGCUAGCUUGAGACUUCCACAAGUAAUUUUGGCACAUUGCACACUAGUUAUUAAACAACCGAUCCUAUUCUCUCUAGAUCUAUAUCAAACAACAAAAAACUUGAAAUUUCUAUACAGAAAACCUAGAUUUGUUAUCUCUAUCCAUUUCUAGAGCACCUAAGACUGACUAAACAUAUGUGAUAUUCCGACUAUCAGUGAGAAGAAAUUGAACCAUAUUUAAUAUAUAAAAGCAGUGACACUUCUGUUUAGAAGGGACAGGGUUAUCCAAAGUAAAACAUCAAGAUGGCUCAAGAAUUUAAGUCCUCCAAUGAUCUGGGAAAUAUAAUUUCUCAAAAUGAAAAAAUUCAGCUGCUUUCUCAGGGACAACUAGAAUUAAGAAAUUUAAAACUAACACUCAAAAGUGUUUGGAAAAGCCUUUUUGUUUAAUAUUGUUAUGUAACUUCCCUUCUGUAAAGCGUUGAGAUGGCAUCACCCAUAAAUGCUAUAAUUACUUUUAACUGAGAGGACCUUACCAUGGAGAUAAAGUCAUAUAAAUAAGAAAAUGGCAGUUGCUGUGGUUCAAUGGUCAGGGAAUCUUGGGGGGAAGGGGGAAAUAAUACAAAGGAAAGACCCACCAGAAAUUCUAUGCCAAAAGAUUCUCAAAGUACUCCCCAUCUAAAGUUUGGUCAGUAUCAAGACAGAAGGAGAUCUAGCAAUCCUUGAGAACUCCGAAUUUAAAACACUGGCCAUGGAUUUGAUGCUCACCUAAGUCCAACAUGAAAACUAAAGAAAUUGAAACAGUGCAUCAGUAAACAAUUGCCACAGAAUAUAGCAGAUGGUAAUCAGAGGAAAAGGAAAAACAAGAUAAGUGCCACAUCCUUUAACUAUGUGGGUGCCAAAUGACUCAAUUGAAAAUUGCCACACAGUAAAGCAGUGGAAAAAGCAUAAGAGCUGACUCAUCAUGAUUAUAAUUAUGAGCCAUGGACUAAACCAAAUGAUAGCAAUCAAACCCAACAGUGCUGGUUAACAAAAUACUGAAGUUCUAGCACACAGAAAAGUUUGGGAAUGAAAAAUAUCACUUGAUUCAACGGAGCACAUCAGCAAAGGGUGCUCUCAGGCCACAUGAGCCCUAAAGCAACCAGUAAAGACCUAUCACUAUUCAUCCAUAACAUGACACCCAAAGCUACAGCCACAAGUUAUUGCAAACUUUUAUGUUACAUAUCACUGUCUUUAUUUGGUUGCUCUAGGGAUUUGUGACCAAUUAAACUGUUUGUCUUCUAAUAUCUUGCAAGUAAAGGGGAUGAGUGCCAAGAAUUCAGUACCUAUAAGCUCUGUUGACCAAUGGACAUUCCCAUAUAAGCCUGAUGGAGCACGACAAGACAUUUACUCCAACAUAUAUGAUAUCAAUAUUAUGGAAGCCAAGCUAUUACAUAUCCUUCAACCUAGCAUAAAGACUGCAAAUAAUAAAAUAGACAACAUAUUCAAUCAGUAUGUAAAAUAUUUGAGGAAAGCCAAGCAUGGGAUCCUUGAGCUCCUCAGAAACAAAAUAAAAAGGGGUGACUCCACCUUGAGCCGAUCCAACAAAAUCUUAUUUGAGCUAAAACUCAAAUGGACUCAGCCCAGUCCUUUGAUAAGAAAUCUUUGCUGUACAAUUCUCUUAAUUUGCUACAAGAUACCAAGGCUUUAAAACAAGAAGCAAUCUAUGCCCAGUCAUAUGUAGCAUUGGUACUCUAAAGAUAGACAAACACGAAUUAAUACAGCAAAGACUUUAACAAGAUCAUAUAUAGUUGCUUAAGCUAGGCUCAUUUUAACUUAGAAACUGGGCAAAGUGCUAAACUGAGCCAAGUCCAGGCAACUGAUUGUUAUUGACAGUCCAAAUACCAUAUCCACACAUCACAUCAACCAACAAACAUUGUUAAUUCAUCCAUUAACAAGUUUCAGAAGCAAAGCAUUUUCCAAACCAUGAUUCUUACCAUGUCUUAGCUAAUCCAAUUACAAUACAAUUUCCAAUCACAACAUUGGCCAUUUUGGACACCAAUGACAAGUCUCGUUCUUCCAUGAACAUCAAAUUUUAAAACUUUUCAAGCAAUUUAAACAAAUUGGCAAUCACCAAACUUUUAGAAAAAUAAAAUAAGAUAAUUCGAAUAUAUUGUUCUUCAGGAUUCAACCUUAUGGCUCAUAGAAGAAAAUGUAUAUACAAAAGAACCCUAACCUGAGGGGGCCAAUUAUCCCUCUGGGCCAAAUCCAUAUUCCCCACAAAAUUCGCCGUCGCAAAGCCGGAAUCCGAUCCCGUCACCGGAAUUACCUGCUGCUGCUGCUGCUGCUGCUGAGGCUCCACUGCAGGCUGCGGUUGAUAGUAAACGGUUGGCUGAUUGCGGUGGGCAGCGUCCAAGGGGACGCCGGGAGGGUGAAUGGGAGCAGCGUCUUGACAAAACAGCGAGUAUUGUUGGGAAGAAGAAUCUUGAGGAGGAGGGUAAUACUGGUAUUGCUGUUGUUGUCGUCCUUGAUCAUAUUGAUACUGGUGUUGAUUGGUGUAGGAAUAGUAGGCGGCUGAUUGAUCGUACUGGGAAGGAUCAUAUGCCUGCUGAUAUUGGUAUUGCUGUUGGGAGGGUUGCUGCUUCGCCGUGUACUCCAUCACUCUUCCGCAACUUUUCUUUGAACCAAAACAAAGAAUUGCAUAAACAAAAUAAUGUCCCCGCAAGAGAAAUUGAAAUGGAUAUAUCCUCCUAAAUUGGCAAAGGUCGUGAAUAUAUUCUCCUAGAUUGCUUAUUCUUUUUUGUUUGUGCAUUGUUUGGGAAAAUUGCAUUUGGUGUCCCCGGAUCUUGUUUAUUGACGGCCACAUACUUCGAAAAUUACAAUAUUAUUUAUUUAUUAUUCAUUUCUCAUGCCACCUUAUUUUAUUUUAAUUUAAAAUAAUUAUCAUCUAAAUCCCGAAUUAAUCAUUCUUGACCCAAAAUAAAAAAAUUAAAUAAUUACUUUAUGAAAUAAUUAUUUUAUUCCGUUUAUACAAUUUCGUUUUAUCAUUUUUAUUUAACAUAAUUUUAUUUCACUAUUCGAUUCAUGAAAUAGUUAUUUCGUUCCGUGUUUAUCGAAUCCGAAUGGUUGGACUGAGAAAAAGAGGAAUUCCAAUUCUCCAAUGGGUGAAAUAUUUUCAACUUGCCUGAUAAGUAUCACUUUGAUGUGAGAUUGAUGACAAAUGUAUUGGUAUCAUUAUCUGCAUGGAGGACGACAAAUGAAUGAAGAUGGAGGCAACAAAGCAUCCAGAUAUCCCAUAUUUUAUUAUGCUAUAUAAUAUAAUUAUUAUUCAGAUUUAACGGGAAAAAAAAUUACUAGUACUACUACUGGUUUAGACUUUAGAAAUGGAACCAAAAGAAUAUGUAUUUUCAGUCUUCAGUUAGCAACUUCUUCAAAUUUAUAUGAGGGAUGAGCCCUCUUUUGGCGCCUCUUUGGUCCAUCGCAUGGCCCUUGCAUGAUGAACGAACCGUUUCCUGUACAAGAACGCAGUUACAUGCCCAUGUCAUUGGUUUCUCAAACGAAGGAAUGGCCGCAACACCAGGGGCAUUCAGACCAAUUCUUGGCCUAAAAAGUACAUAUAUAACAGGAUCAUGAAGGGGUUUCACCAAAAACAGAAACUCCCGAUCAGUGCCAUCCGUCAUUCCCCCAUCUCCCUUUCCCGCGGCAAAAUGGGGUGAUUAUAGUAUACACAACAAUAACCGGAGCACACCUCAAAGCUUGAUUUCGUGAAGGUCUUCACCGGAAUUAGUGUCAGCAUAUGACGAUGAAGGCAUAACUAGGGCUUCUCCUAGAGGUUUUAUUUCCCUUGUCUUAGAAAGAUUGGAAGCAUCAUUGAGGCUUCCGCUCCAGGAUGCUGUACGUCGAGAGUUGCUGUCUUCUACUGCUGCUACCCUUUUGUGCACUAUAUUAUCCACACUAGGAAACCGCUGCAUAGUCACUGAUGAUGAUGAUGAUGAUAGUGAUACUGAUGCAGAUGCUGGUGUUGAGAAUGAUGGUACUGGAGAUGAUGAAUCUUGAUUAAAAGAUGAUGGUGAACUUUCAUUGGUCAGGACUGCUUCCUGAAUGUUUUCCCCAGUCUUUUUAACCAUCUCUUCAGUAGGUGUAACAGGAGAAGGGAUGAAAAACUUAGGACUAGAACCGGAAACAGGUUUGGCAGAUGGAAUAGAAGGUGACUGGAAUAAAUUUACAGGGCUUCCCCGACUCUUGUUGAAUGUGUCAACGUACCUGAAAUAAUUUUAAAAAGUUCGAUUAAAGGAGAAAAUUUAAGUUAAAACAUAGACUAACAACUAAUGAUAAUUAAAUUAGUACAAGAAAGAGAACACUGAGACAGCCACAAGCUAAGGAGAAUAAGCAUUCAAGUACUGAUAGUUGAAUGCCCCCACCUUCCACACCCCACAGGGAGAGAGUGCUCAUAACAACCUAAUAAGUUAAUUAAUGCUAAUACCUUGAGCGAACACCCAUACGUGCACGAGCAGAAUACUGGUUUGAACUGGGUGGAAUUGGUGGAAUUCCUGAGCUCUGAUCAGAAGAGAUGGGGCUUUUAUUAUCACUACUAGUGUGAACGCUUUCGAUUUUGGGCGAAUCUUUUAUACUGAGAUCAUUCAUGCCAUUCUGGAAAGCUGCACUCGUGGGUGGAGGUGGCAAGGCUGCUUCCUCAGCUGGAGGUUCAGCUCCUUCCUCAACCCAUCUCUUGAGCUUUUCAUCAUAAUAGAAUUUGUUUGUCUCACCCAGUUUAGCCUGCAUGUUCAACAUGGCAUGCAGAAGAAGCUCAAUUUUAAUUAAGAAAAUAUUUUGUAUAAAAAAUCAUCUUUAAAAAUUUAGCUCACUCCAAACUACCUGACGAUGUGGCUGAGAUCUUAGGACCAAACCAAAGGUCUUUUGGAACAGCUGUGAGCCAAAUCGACCAAAACGAGAUGACCCACUUGACACUGCUGCUUUUUCUUGUGUCCCUGAUGAGUUAGUUUCAUUGGAUGAAUUAACCUUAUCAAAAAGAAAAAACCACCCAUAAGAUCACAGCCUUUUGUUGCACCAUUUGUCCCAAGGAAUAGAAAAAAAUACAGAUGUGGGGAAGAGUGAGAAACUCUUCUUUACAUGCCAAUUAAAAGAGAACUCGUGUGUGUGUGUGUGUAAAGAACUUCAAUCCACAGCUAUUUAAGCAGUUACCUUUCUGUUGCUAUGACCAAAGUCUGGCUCCGAGAUACUUCUACCAGUCAUUGUCGAUAGGUCGGUCUGACCAGUCCAUUCACUAAUGGGUUCCAUUGAUGCAGAAGGCAAUAGUGAUGGCAUGGUCAUUGUUGAUUCCACUGAUGCAGAAGGCAUUAGUGAUGGCAUGGCCAUUUUUGAUUCCACUGAUGCAGAAGGCCUUAGUGAUGGCAUGGCCAUUUUUGAUUCCACUGAUGCAGAAGGCAUUAGUGAUGGCAUGGCCAUUUUUGAUUCCACUGAUGCAGAAGGCAUUAGUGAUGGCAUGGCCAUUGUUGAUGCCACUGAUGGAGAAGACAUUAGCGAUUGCACCGCUAUUGUUGGUUGACUGUCAGAUGCCUUUGAGCCCCCUGGGUGCUGGGGAAACUCAUUUCCAUGAACACUGCUAUGCAAUGUUGAGGGUGGAGGUGGAGGUUGGCCUCCAACAACACGUUGAGCAGUAUUAUCAAAGAAUGUGAGCAAUUUACCAACCAGUUUGUUUGGAGUCAAAUUUGUAUUGUAACCACCCUGCACAUUAAAUUGUCCUUUUUAUUCUAUAAAGAAGAAAGAUUAUAUGAUCUAAUGACAAAGAGAUACCUGCUGGUGGAUUCUUAAUCGUUCCUCAAGAGAUGAUACUAAUUGUCUCCAAGUCUCCACUUCAGGUGCUCGGCCAGUUUUCGAAGACUUCAAAAUGGCUUGACAGUAUCUGAACCAACAUAUCAUGUAAAAGAAAUAAGGGUCAACCUAAAUUAGUGACAACCAUCAGGCUAUAUGCUAUAAGUACCUCAGACUUACUUCAAAGAAUCAGCCACUUUUCCAACUUCAGCCAGCAUGUAAGCAUAAAUAAGCUUAUAUGGCUGAAACGGUAGGAGGAGAUACUGAGAAUUUCCUAGCACCUUCGAGUAUUCAUACAGUUCUGUCCUCUGCCCAGAUAUUAAAAGGCUAGUUAUGUGGUGCUACUACGGAAGGUGGAGAUAAAAUGAAAGCAAAACAUUAUAGUUGGUCAAAAUUCAAAUUAGUAACUACUUCACAAGAACCAAAAAGAAGGUUACUAGUUCUAAAAUACAAAACGUUUGCAUGCCAGAGACAACAAGAGAAAGACUGAAAUCAAGAUUCACUGUCAGUAAGUAUUAAAAGCCUACAAUAAAUAAAGGUCAACUGCUGCAUCACUGUUUGAAUGGUUCUAUCAAUAUCAGAUGAAAGGGUAACGCUUAGAUACCUGAAUAGCCUCGGGACUAGCAUACGUUCGUGGACAGUUCCAAUGAUCAGCGCCAAUAAGACAAAGUCUUGCACCAUCUGAAUAUGGCUCAAAGUUGGUUUCUGCAACUAAAUAGCAAAUGUGCGCAGCAGCAACCUGUGCAAUUGGUUUUGAGGACAAAGAGAAAUUAUUCUAAUGAAUGCAGAGAAAGGAGCAAAAAGAAAGGAGAUAGAAUGACUUAAACCAGUAAGGCCUGUAUGCAGCCUACCUCAGCCCUCUCCUUCCACAAGCAAUCUCCAAGAUGAAUAAUAACAAGCUCAUCAUCUUUUGUUCUGUUAGCUGUUAUGAUGGCUAAGUUCUCUUCCCAUCCAUCCAACAUAUUAGCUCCAAUCUGUAGUACACAUAUACAUCUGAACAACUGAGAAAAGAUGGUUGAAAAGCUCUAAGAAAGCAACAGGCAAAAAUCCAAAAAGGAGAACGAUCUUUUCAAUGCAAGAGCUCAAAUCAUAUACACCUGUCCAGGCUGGUUGGCAGUAUGUACAUAACCAGGGAGAUUGCUACUAGGGGAAACUGUGGAAAACACAUCUGCAGGUUGGCCUGCAAUUAGUAGGCAUAAUGUCCGCAAUGGUGAUCCAGCUUUUAAUUGCUUGAGUGCCAUUAGCUUCACAGUAUCACCAUAAAACUGCAUGCAUUCGUAAUUUCAAUUAUCAGAAAGAAGAAAUCAAGCCUCAAAUCCUAGUAGGUCAAUUCAAUACUGAUAAAAGUAGAUCAACCAAGGUCCAUUCUGAACACAUACAAUAGAACAAUAAACAUAAGUGAAAUGCGAUUGCAAGAACCUGAUCACCAAGCUGAGAUGCAAUAACAAGAGCUGGUCCCCACAGUUGACCUUCCUGUGCUAAUUCUAACGCUUCUUUCUUUCUACCAGAGACAAGAAGCUUCUGUACCUCAAGAGCAGUAGCCUAAACCAAUAAUAGAUGCCUAUUAAGGAAAUAUCAAUGAAAAUUUUUUGAGAAAAAAAGCAGGACAAAUAAAAUUAUUAGAAGAAAGCCGAAAGGGUAGGCUAUCCAUACCUGCAUCUGUGCUUCUGAGGGCAAGUUCUGCAAGCAGUGCAUGAAAGCACCAUAUGCACUUGAUUGCACUCCCUUCCCUUUCACAGACCCUAAAAGCUUAGCAAUGGCUAACUCUGGGUAAUCGCUUUCCUAAUGUUAAACAAAAAGGAUAGAAAAGCAGAAAAGAAGAAAGAAAAGAACAACAGAGGGUCAGAGCUCUGUAUUAUGUCCAUGAGAUAGUUGCUAAAUUUGAGGUCUUGCGGUGGAAAAUGGAAGGAAAUCGAAUGAUUGAGUUAAGCUUAUAUUUCUGUCUUAAAAAGGAACCAAAACCUCAAAUUAAUGAAGCACGACAAGCCAUAUUACUAGUGAAAAACCAUCACAAUUAUAUAACUGCAGGGAGCAGUAAAUUGAAUUAAAAAAAAGGUGUACAAAAAUUCAAGAAAGUAAAUUAAGAAACCAAGUUAAUUUAUAAUGUCAUUCCAGUCAACCUGAUAUAAACAGAAAAGCAGAAAAAACAAUCACAGUAACAUUGAAAAGGGAAUUUAUUUAGCAGUAAUUCACCUUCAAAGUUUGGUCAGUGCCAAAAGGAGACCGAAGUUUUCCAUAGUACUGACAUGAAAUUUUCAGUAAAGAAAAAAGCAACCUCAAAACUUCUCCUCUGUAGCCCAUGCUUGAAGAUUCACAGUUCGCAAUCCUUUCAUCAAUCCACUUAUACAACUCUUUAUUUCCAAUAUUCCCACCAACCAAAGGACCAGGGAAGAAUUGCUGGCACAAUGUCUGAAAGUAAUCAUUAGCACCAAAUCCAAAGCUAGAAGCAUCACUGUUGUCGUUGACAACUUCCAUCAAAUUUAGAACAUUGAUCACACCUGCUACAGAGCCCUUCACAGAAAACAAACACUAGCUUGAUGUCUACAGUAGCAGCACAAAGAUUGUAACAAAGCGGAAACUUGAACUACCUAAAUCAAGCAAGAAAAGAACAUGACCUACCUGGUAUCCAUACACUGAGGUUGUGUGAGACAAACUGUUGUUUUUCAUGACAACAAGUUUUCCACCAAAUCCGAACGUAACUAGAGCAUGGGGAGGGCGUCCAGCAGAAGACCUUCCCUCAUUGGGUGAAGAAUAAAAUGAAGUGCUAGUUUGAAGUGGCUGUUGAGGAUGAUUUCCUGAUUUCUGAGCAUCAAUGAAAGCAGGUCUGAACUGCAUCUGUUGGUCUGACAGAACAGUUGUCUGAUUAUUAAACUGAGUAUAACUCUGAGCUGGAAUAAAGCUUUGAAACCUAGAGACCUCAGCACUGUGAGAAAUAGUCUGACUUAGCUGUUCAUAAGGAGCAACUGAUCUAGAAGGUUCAAAUCCAUUUUGUUGCUCUGCAUGAUUAUCUACAAGAGCCACAGGACUAUAAAGGUUUCCUAAUUGCUUGGUUUCAGAAGAAACUUCUGUUCCUCUCUUGGAAACUGAGUAAGCUUGGAAACUAUUCGAAUUUUGCUGAUGGUAGUUGCUUGCAGAUUCACCCUGAUUCAUAACAUGGUCUUGACUACCAAAGGCUUGAGACUCAUAGCUUUCAAUAUUACUAUUUUGAUAUCGCUGAUUAUGAUCUAUGGUUGCUGACUGAUCUACAGCUGGAGUGUAAGACUCCAACAUCUUCCAUUCUUGGGCAAUCGUAUCAUAGUACCAACCAGGGUACUGGGGAUCAAACACCAUAUGUGCAGGGUACUCUGCAUUUCCUUGUGAAAUCUGAUUCCAGUAAGAGGCAUUGGAAUUCCCAAAAUCCUCAGCUAAAGUUCCCAUAACAGACUGAGCUGUUUGCUGCAAAGAAUAGGUGUCCAUUUUUUUAUUUGAAAUAGCAUCGGGACUAGCUGAAUGUGACACACCCAAACUUUCUUGUGAAUUCAUGGUUGCAUUCACAUCAUAUCCCUCUACCUGAUACCAUUGCCCAGUAUUUGAGUCAUAUCUCCAUCCAGGGUAAAGAUUUUCCCAGUACUGACUGUUGCUCAAAUCUUGCCCAUCAACAUUUUGUUCUGAUCCCACACCAUAGUAUUGAACAUCAUUAUUUUGCAGAUAGCUAGAAGCAGUCAAAUCAGAAACUGAAUCCCCUGAUACACCAGCAGUAGUGUUAAAUUCCAUUGCCGAAUCAUCCUUAAUCCCCACUUCAGCAAAAGGGUCUUCAGAAUUAUCCCCCAAAUCAUUAAAAAUUUCAGAGUAUGUCCUAAAUCCACCACUACUGUGAAUAUUUGUAUCAGAGUUAAAAGAGCUCCACUGAACCUCUUUCACACCAGUACCCGAAGCUACACCACUCUUACUGGUUUCUCUAUCCAAUACACCCUCCUCUCCCAACCCAAUUUCACUACACUCCUUCACAUUACUAGGUGCCACUGAACUGCUCUCAUUAGCAGCCACAGUAUCCUCAUUAGCAUCCAAUAAUGCCGAAUCACCACCAUCUUCUCCACCCUUUUCUGCUUCUAAACUAAAAUCAACAUCCUUCCCAUCAGAAUCAACUCCAGCAGGGCUGGUUUCACUAAUAGUCAAAUUAGAAAAAGCUUUUACUUCCUGCGAAUCAAUAGCUUCGACUACAAAAUUUUGGCUGGAUCCAGUAAAAUCAAAGUCGUCGUCAUCAUUGACCAACUUGUCAAAAAAAUCCUCAUCCAACUGAUCCUCCACUUCAAAUGGAGGAGAUGCCAUCUAAUAAUCAAAAACCUAAACUCUUCCUAUUAAUGCUCCCCUUUCACAAUUCCACUCCCCUCCUAUAAACUCACCAGCAUUCUAUUCACUGUAUAAAUAUAAAAUACCGCUUACAGAAAUCCAAAACAACCAAAUCCCAUUUAAUACCUGCCAAAAAAAACCCAAAACACAUGACCUGAAUUAGUGAUUUGGGUUUUUGAAAGACUUCUUUUCUGCUUAAACAAAUCCCAGUAAAAAACAAAAGAACUAGUUGAAUUCCCAGUUAAAAAAAGAAAAACACUCAAUAAAUAAAACCCAAUGAGGGAAAAACUCGAAAGGAAACAGAAGUGAAAGAGAGAGAUCGAGUUACCUUGGAAGAUAGAAAUAGAAUUUGGCAGAAGAGAGAGCGGCAGAAGAUUAAAAGAGAGAUUGCAGACAAAAAGUGGAUUUUGGCGCAGAGAGAUUGCCUCGCCCCUCAAAAACACUAAAUUAAUUUUGCCAAAUAAUUAUACUCCUUUACUUCCGUGUACAAGACUUUUUGGCAGCACGUGACGGCCCUGCAUUGACCAAAAUUUUUCUUUUGUAUAAUAAGCAAAAAUCUAGGUUGUAGCUGACAGUUUCAUUUUAAGUGAGACCCAUAAAUUUAAUUUUAUUUUUUAAAAUUUUAAUUAUUAAUUUUUAAAUAAAAUAUUUUUAUUUUAAAAUUUUAAUCAAAAUUAUACGAAAACUUAUUAAUUUUUUAAAUAAACACUCCGUUUUAAAAAAAGUCUUCAUUAGGUAUAUAAAUCUGUUUUCGUUAAUUUAAUAAAAUAAAAAUAUUAUUAUUAUAUAAUUUUAUCUUUUAUUAAAUUUAAAAUUUAUUAUUAUAUAAUUUUAUUAAUUUAAACAAAUAAAAGUCCUGAUCAAGGUCCGUCCAACGGCCCAAUCGAGGCUCCCGAUGGAACAUUGGAGCUCCUUUAAGGAGCCUGAUCAAGGCUCUCAAGAGAACAUUGAUCUGGUGCUCUUCAUGGGUAGUUGGUGUGUGCAAGGAUGUCGGUGGUAAAUCUAAGAAAAAAAGCGCUAAAAAAAAUAUUUUAGAUAUUUUAUAUUUAAUAUUAAUGUCACAUUUGAACGAAGUAUUUAUUUUAAAAAUUAAUCGAUUUUUAUAUAAUUUUGAUUAAAUUUUAUAAAUGAAUAUAUUUUACCCUUAAUUUUUUAGAUAAAUUAUUAUGAAGUUGCUUAUUUUGGUUGCAAUGGGAGAUUUAUGCAUACCUAAAACCCUAAAAAAAUGAUAAAUUAAUGUGUAAAAAAUGUUGAUUUAUUGGAAAGAAAUUGAUUGACCUUUGUGUUAAUGGUGGAAAUCUAACAAUUAUAUUAUUCAUUAUUUCCUUGAUUUUGUUAUUAACCACUAAUGAUCACACUGUUGCCCUAUGAGAGAGUUGACAUUUUGAGUUAAGUAGUGAAUUUCCAAGUGGUCUCAACCAUAUUAUUUUAUUAAUUUAAUUGUUUAUUAGUAAAAGUUAAUUAUAUAUAAAAGACAAUUAAUGUUUCAACUACAUGUUAUCAAAAUUUUAUAAUAUUAAUGCUUUAGAAUUCUUAUUUAAAAAUUGUAUAAAUUUUAAUAAUAUUUUUAAUGAAAAUCAUUUAAUACAAUUAAAAUUCUUGCACAUUUGCAAUUAGAUAAAUUUUAUUGAUAUUAAUAAUAAUUUUUUUAAUAUAAUAAUUUGGAUAUAUGAUGACAAAUAUGACCAUUUUUUUCCUAUAUUAUAGAUUAUAGAUAUAGAUAUGGAAUUUUCUAAUCUAAUUAGUUAUUGUGUUCCACUAGGACACAAAUCUUUUACAAAAGUAUCUUUUAAAAGAUAUGAUAUGUUAAUGGUCAAACGUUAUUGGCUAGUUUAAAGCCAAGUGAUCACCUCAACAUAGAAAAAUAUAUUAAAUCUAAUUAAAUUAACAAGUGGUUUAAAGAUAAUAUUAAUUAAAAAACAUUUUAUAAAAUUAAUUAAUGUAAAUGCUUGUUACAUGACUAUAUUUUUUUUGUUUUCUCAAAAUAGUGGCCCACGGAGCUGAGACCCAACCUAUAUGGGCUCCUAGCUGUCAAUAUUGGACCCAUGGGCUAUCUUAGGGGCGUGGGGCUCUAUUUUUAAGGGAGUUCAUCUAUCAAAUGUGCAAAGGUGUCCAAAGAAAGCGCCCAGGCCCAAUUUAUUUUAAUGAAAACUUUGGGAUUUUGCUUAAAAAUGUUUAAAUGAUAAUUAAAAUUUUAAAUAGAAAUUUACAGGCAUAAUACUUAAAACAAAUUAAAUAAAUUAUUAUUCUUUUAUUAUAUUCAAUCAAGUUUUUAAACUUUUAUUUUUAAUCAAAUAAAUCAUUAUCAUUAACAGUUAAUUAAUUAUUAUUAAUUAAAAUAUCAUUUGUCAUGUGAUAUGUUGACAUGUGAUACGAUGAUAGUAAAUGUUAAUGUGGUAUGAUGAUACAUUUACGUGACAUUUUCACCUUUCGCGUUAACACCACGUGACAUAAAAGAUGUCAAAUGUUGUUUUGAUUAAUAGUAGUUAAUCAACCGUUAGUUAUAAAAAUUUAUUUAAUUAAAAAUAAAAAUAUAAAAAUUUAAUUAAUCAUAAUAAAAAAUAAUUUUUUUUAAUAAUUCAAAAAAAUUUAAAAACAUUAUGCCAAACUCGUACCACAAUAUAUACCUUUUUUCCUCAAUGUUUAUUACAUAUAUAUCUACCAUAUGAAAGAUGUUCGGAUAAUUUGGUAAUUCUAUUAAAUAAAAUUAAUGGUAUAAUAUCUUUUGAGAGUAAAAUUUAUUUACGAGAAAUUAAUUAAAAAAUAUAAAAUAAUACACACAAAAAAUUACAUAAAUAUAAAUGUAAGUAAAGUAUAGGUAUAAGCGAAAAAAUGGACUCUUGAAAUAGAAAAAGAAAAAUAGAAGGAAGAGGUGGCUGAUGCUUGGGGCUCUUUACGAAAGUCAAUGCCAAUUUUGCAAGUUCAUCCCAGAAGGUCAGUCAGAACUGAAGACAGGGAAAGGACAUGAAGCCAACUUCCGUUAGGUUCUCAGCAAAAUAUUAAGUGAUAUUAUUGAGAAAUAGACAGAACAUAGGAGAAUUUUGUAUAGUAAUUUAUUAAUUAAAUUUAUAUAAUAAUGUAGGUAUAAUAAUUUAUUAAAAAAUUUCAUUCAAGUUAUAAUUAUAAUAAAAUAAUUCACGAAACAAGAUUUGAAAUCUAAACUUUUCCACAUCAUGAGUAUCUCGUCGGCAAGAUUUCCUUAAUGAACAACUCUAAUUAUAACAAUAUACAACUGUAAUUUUACCAUCCAUUGAAUGUAGGCAUUUUUUAUUUAUUUUGAAAUUAAUAUAUUCACAUGUUGUGAAAUGGAGUAAGCUGUUGUUGGAAAGUUGGUAAAAGAGCUGUUACAAACAUGGAGGUGUGUAUACUAGUAAAAUGAUUGUUGAACAAACCUUGGUUUUCACCACCCAUUGCUCUCUCCUCUCCCUCCCUCUCCUUAAAAACCAAUGACAGUUUCAUUUUCCGUAUUCUGAUAUCUAAUACUUAGAAUAAUGUUGGGAUCCUGUUCAUCAUAUACUGGUAUUUGCAAUCUCUACCACAUGAGCAUAAAAGCUCAGCAAAGACAUAAAUCAGCGGAAGAGUAACAGACACGAUCACUUUAAUAACAAUCUUGAUAAAAGAUUGUCAGUAUAAUAAUCUUGUCUCGAUCAAUUCUUAAUUAAGAAAUAGAUCCAUGGCAAAGUAGGUAGAGCAAGUUGGGAAACAAAAUCCAGGGUCAGGGGGGGGAGUUUUUAAUUGUUAAAGAAGGGGGACAAGAGCAAGUCGGUAGCCUAACUUCCAAGUCCAUAGAGUAAUGAGUAGGCGUGAUUUACCAGUGCCGGUGAAUGUUCAGAAAUUUCCUCCAUCUUUGCUUUUCUCCACCAUAGCUUCUCCUGGUGGAAUUAGUAAGGAAAAACUGGGAGCUGAUUAUCCCGAGCAUUUUUUUCAAAGUUUUUCAAAGGGAGUAAAGAACCCCACUAAACCGACCAUUUCGACCGACUACUUUAGUGCAUUGCAACCUUUUAACAAGGAAUUUGUCAGGUUGAAAAGUAUGUAAUUUCUGGCUUACAGCAACUAUUGUUGGAAAGAAAACAAUUGAUCACACACUUUUUCCUUCACUUGGAAAUUACAUUUUCUAUAGUUAUCGAGUCCGUGAGACACUGCCAGGAAUUUGCUAGACUAUCACUAAGCUUUGAGCCCUUUCCUGAACAAGAGGAAAAGGACAAGAUCAAGCUUAUGGGAAAGUCAGCUGUCAAUGGAAUUUCUUCCUUGUAUCAUUUGUAAAGCAAAGUCAAAUUUCAAGGGCAGUGAUAUCUGGUUUAUCUGCAGCCGACGUAUUAAUCAGACGUAAAGAAAAAUCAAAAAGUUGAGUCAAGACUUUUUUCUAUGUAAUGUAACCUAACGUGCAGGAAAAGAUAGAUAUGUGCUUUUUGCCUUCUUUAGCUCCAUAAUUUGAUGAGGAAGAAGAGUGCAUUUGAGUUGUUUUCAAAAGGAAUGGGGAAUAAACGAAGCAAACUAAACACUCUUUAAUUUGCACACUUAAACCUCAAAGCAUCUUUUAGUUUCAUUUUGUGGUCCGAAAAUUCUUUUUCCUUUUCUUCUAUGGGGUUGUUAAGUUUCUUUGGCAUCUUAAAUAGUUUGGGAAAACAAGUAGAAAGAGAAAGAGGAAUUCGAAUUCUAUUCUUUUGAGUAGAAUUUUACAUAAAUCAAAAGAACAGUGAAGCUGGAAACCAGCAGCCAAAAAAGCAGAUCCCAAGGGGCUUAGCUAGCUAGGCAGCAACAUAAGUUACUAUGUACCGGUCACAGGUUUCCCAUUUCUCGUGGGUGCAAACCCAACACGUGCCUUUGCUUGAUCCAGGGUUAAUGGAUUUCAUGGGACCAUAUAUAUAUAUAUAUAUGGGAAUAUAGAAGUGAAUUCAAAAAACAAAAGAAAAGAAGGCAAUUUGGGUUGAUGGGUUUGUUUUUCCUGUUUGCCGUGACCAGGUUGGAGAGAUCACAUGUGAGACACACAACCACUGCUUUGGUAGUGUGAGGUCUUCGAGUGUGUAUGACUUAAGGAAAGAGGCAUGAAAUCAUGGUGUUUGUAGCGUGACCCAAAGAAAAAAAUUGUCCAUUGAAAGAUGAAUUCUCCUGUGCAACCAAUAAAAUAUGUAGCAGUAAAUUGUUUACAAACAAUUAAAGAUAACUCAAAAGGAAGGACAGGAAACAGAAAUGUGUGGAAGAUUGAAUCCCACAAAAAGAGUUUGGAGGAUAAGCUGUCGUUGUUGGAUCACAUUUGAGUGAGAAGCCACUGUCUGGUUACAUCACAAGCCUAACGUUGAAAUGUUAAUACACUGCCUCUGCCAGUUAAAAGAAGAACAAAGAUGAAGAAAAUUCUAGAGCUUUUCCUGCGAUUCCCAAUGGAACAUUGGCAGGUGGAAUCUUUGGGGUGGUGGAAAUGUGGGUUUCAUUUAAUUUGGUUGUUGGGUUACACAAAAUGGUAAUUAAGGUUAAUUUUGUUUAAGCUGUAAUGAUAUGUACACCAUCACAGACAAACGUAAGUGAAUCUGUUUGACUUUGUUUGCUUGCUUUAUCGUGGCAAUGUUGGUGGCCAAAUAUUAAGACAACAUGAUAACUCUUAGAUUUUGCACUAGUUUUAUCAACCAAAUGGGAACAAUUAUUGCUGCAUGUUACUGAGGAAUUACUGCAUGUUAAUUUUGUCGUGAGCGUUAAAAAGUGUAAACUCAUCAGUCAUCAAAGAUGUGACAUGAAAAUUUUCAGCCAGCUGCCUCAUCUUGCCCUGGUACCAUGGCUUGAAAUGAUAUUGAGCUCCACACAUCAAAGAUAGAUAGAGACCCGUUUAAAAACUUAGUAGUUUCAAAGAUUGACUGACCAUUGAGCUGAAUUCCUAUUUGUCAGAAUGAAAUUACUCACCAAGUUCAUGCACCUGGUGUUUUUGAAUCCAAAUCAAACACCAUAAGAAAGGCUUCAUGGGAAAAAAAAAAGAGGUUUCUCUCUCAUGUUGAAGUUCAAAUUAAGACAGAAAAUGGGCCAGACUGCGCGUUAAAAUCAAGCUCGAGCAAGCCUUAGAAUAAUGUUAGUUGCAUUGAAUAUGUAGUUUUGGCUCUCUGCAGGUUGUAGAAGUAUCUAUAACCAAAGACCAACAACACCAACAAGCACGCUGCGGCAAUCACGCCAAGUUCAGUGCAAGACUGCUAGAGCUCGAAACUGACCGAGGCUUUCGUUUUUUUACCUUUAGAGUAAACAAAACUUCAUCUCUCCGAAGGGAAUGUAAGGCCCUUAGUAUUAAUUUGUAAAUCACUAUGCUUACUGGCUACUAGGUCUUAGACCAAGAAGCAAAAAGCGACAAAGUGCUUUUCUCAAUGAUGUGAAGGUAGCCUUUGGUAGAACUUUGAAGAAGAAAAAGAGUGCUAUAGUGGAAAAGGAUCAGCAUUGUUGACCUCGAUUUCCCUUUUGAUUUGAUGAGAAAGUUAAUUUCUAGUCAUAAGCCGGCAAAUUGUGGGUUGGUUUGUUUGCAUUUUGUUUGUUUUCUACUCUCUUUUUAAUUCAAACUUUCACAGCCACGGCACCCCCCCCUCCUCACCACCACCAGUACUGGGAGCGUUAAUUAGACCAUGAAGUGGCACUCACUCUCACAAACCUUACCCCCCACUCUUUGAGCUUGCCUCCCGUUAGCUCCUUUUCUCUCCACCUUUUCAUCAUCAUUAUUGUUUUUUUAUUUUGAUUUCUUUUUUAGUUUUAAUCCUUUGAAUGGUAACAAAAGACCGACCCACCGACUGAUUAUGGCCAUCUAAAAUCUCAACUAUAAAGGCCAGGCUAGCCAACCAACUCAAGCUGUCAUGCCAUUGCUAUUCCUACAGCUUUGUGAUGUGUCUGCCUGAUUAGGUCAGCCUUAGAGAUAAGUAUCUUAAAAUAGUUGAAGAAUAAGUAGUAGUACAUCAUUGAAACAAAGGGUUUUCUUUUCGUUUUUUCUUGGGUGCAUGGAUGGUUGUGAAAACUCCAAGGAAAAGGGUGGCAAUCCCCUAAUUUAAAAAAAAAUAAAACCCACUUGCCUUAUAUUAACUAAUUUGAUCCCUAAAUGUCCAUUUGGUCAAAAGAGAAAGGUAAAAAAAAAAAAAAAAAGAAAGAAGAGAGAGAGGAAAAUAAUGGAAGACAUCAAACAAGGCAUGAGCAUAUUCCCUUAUUGAUUUUGCAAGUCAUUUAGUUUCUCCCCCUUCCGCCCUUUACCUUUUCUUUGUUGGUGUAUAAUUUUUCUUUUCUCAAGGGUAAUUAGGCAGUGCCUAUAAAGAUGAAUCAAGUACAUGGGAAUCAUACGUGGCCUGCUCUAAAAGAACACUUGGUAUGAAAAUAUUGACUUGAUCUAGAAUUACCCUUUUCUGGAUUUUAUUUUGACUUUGCGUUGAUGGAAUUUUCGGAUAUAAUUAAAUAAAAAGUAGGAUAUGUUAAGUGUUUGGGAAGAUGCUAUGUAGUCUGAAAGAAUCAAUCUGAUCCAUUGAACAGCCCUUCAUUUCCUUUGAUUCUAUUUCCCACUUGUAAAAUAACCCUAAGCAUCCUCUUAAUUAGCUUUAUGAGAGUAUUUUUAUAAUUUAAUAAUCAUAAUCUCUAAAGCAAAGUUUUUCUUCUAAAAAAUUGUAAUCGCAGAUUUUACAAUAAAAGCAUCGGAGUAAAAGAUGAUAAUAUAGAUUGAAAUUUUCAACAUGUUGCAUUUUAUGAAUUGACCCUGAUAAGGCCGAAGUCUUCUAUUAUUUCUUCAAUAUGACAAUGUGGGACUUGACCAAUGAUAAUAUUGAUUGAAUGACCAAAUAUUAAUCUUACUAUUUCAACUGAAAAGAAAAAUUGAUUAAACUUUCUGACCAAGGAGUCGUUUACUUUAGCUUACUAUAUAUUCUCGAGAUUAGUAGAAUUAAGGCGGCUAAUGUAAUCGAGAUUAGUAGAAUUAAGGCGGCUAAUGUAAUCGAGAUUAUAUAAUAAAAAAGCCACAACUUGGAAAAGUAUGAAAGCUUGGAAUCCUUAAUUAAUACAAUCAAACAACAUACCAGGUAGAAAUACCCAGCGCCAAAUAAGAAGGUUUUUUUGGCUCUUUGGGUAGCUCCACCAGCCACAAAAUACGAUUCUUUCCAUGCUUAAGCUUCAUGCAAUUUGUGGUGGAAGGCAUACCCCUAUAUUGGGAGUUGAAAGUCAAUCCUUUUCCUUCAUUUGAAAAUAAUAAUAAAGUUUUCAUUUCGACUAAAAGUUUACGUAAUUACACUCUUUAUAGUGUUUCUCUCUUUAAAUAUUUGUUCCUUUUUAAUUUUUAUAUAGAUUAAGAUAAAAGUUUCAUUUGGAACCCGGAAUUUUAUAUUGUUUAUACAUUAAUUUUGCAUUCAAUAUUUGAUAGUGAUAUCACUUAGCAAUUAAAUUAAAAAAGUCUUUCACCAUAAAUCUGCAAUUAUUUAAUACGCCAACAUUAUUAAUUUAACCUAAGUUCAUCACAUUCACUUAACCUAAACUAAAGCUUUCUUGAAGGAGAAAAGGGUUAGAAGUACUUGGAAAAUUUUGAUCUCAUAUAAAUGCAAAAAAACAAGCAGAGUCAUGCUCUUCCUAUGUGUCAAGUCAUCAGAACCGAUUGCACGCUAAUCUGACAUUUUUCCUAUGGCUAUGAUUCCUGCUGUCAUCUGCCAGAUUCACCACAAUCUGUUGGAGUAGAGCUGCCCUGGAAGACAGCACGUUUUCAACCAUGUCCCACUGUUCAAAAUUAAAUCAAGAGGCAGCUUGCUCAGCCAUUUAAGCGGCUUGGGAUUGUUUAUUUUGCAUUUGAUAAAGCAGUUCUAACUACCUGGGAAUUACUUGGGAGGCAUGAGCACCCCACUUGCCCUCACCCUAGAACUAGUGCAAAAAUAAGAAUCAAUUAAAUGGAAAAGGGCAUCCUGAAAAUAGCAACAAGGAAAAGGAAGAGACUGCCCAAAAAAAGUGUAAUAGUUAUUAAUAUUCAUUUAUUGCAAAAUUUAUUGGAGGUGGACUGAAGUUUCUAGAUACUUUUUCACUGAUCCUGAGUCAGAGGGAUACUUUGGUUUUGGCCAAGCUAUGCCAGACACGUUAUUCUCUGAUUAAAACAGGGGAUUUUGCUUUUUGGAUUUUUUUUUUCAUCUUUUUCAGGGUUCCCCUUUCCGACAUAUGGAAAUGUAUUUAUUGUAAAUCAGGUUCAGCUUCAAGGCUAUUAAAGUCAUUAAAUGUGACCUCUGGUCCUAAUCUACUGGUUUAGCAGAUUUGUAGGUAAAGCAUGAAACAGUUUCAGACAGAAAACAGAGCAAAAGAAGCAGCAUCAAAAUGCUGUGAAAGGAAAGGAAAGAGGACAUGGAACAGAAGCAGAUAACUGCUAACAGAGAAUUCUUGAUGAAUCUGUACAAAUGCCAGUAGCGGACAAAAUAAACAGUGUGUUGGUUUUUUACGAGAACCUUCUUUUGAGAAGGACUUUCCUUGCAUUGAGGAAAAGAACAAGACCAGUGGUUUGAAGUAAGAACAAUCAGCUAGAAAAGUAGGAAACUUUGAUUGAACAGAACCCAUUAACAACAAUGCCUGUUUCUUCAUCAACAAAAUAUCGAGGAACCCAGAAAUCCUAAUCCAACAGUGAAAUGAACAAAAAAGCAUGUUUAACUGGGCUUUCUUGGAGGUUCUAAUUGAUCAGUUGUUACAAACAAAACUUAAAGACAAUUCAAAAAAAAAAAAAAAAAGGAAUUACAGUUAGAACAGAGUAGAAUGGUCUAUGACUAACCAGAAAACCUUAUAGCUUAAAUUUGGAAAAAUAGUAAACUAGCAAAAAUCUUUAGAUCCCAGAUGUAGGCAAAAGCUACCAAAAUUUUUUUACCUUUGGAUCAAACAUUGUUGCAAACCACAAAUUCAGCAUCCGAAACCGCAGAGAGUUCAAUUUGGCUAACAUCAUCGUCAUCCAUUGGAGCAGGAAGAUUAAGAUCUAUCAGAUUAUCUACCAACUUUUUGGAGCUUUUAACAGGAGUACUUUCGGUAGUUGCUACUACUUGACCAGUUACAUGAGAUCUUUUAUGGCCUCCAAGAGCUUGUCCAGAUGAGAACACUCUAAAACAAACAGGGCAUUCAUGAAUUUUCUUUUCUGUCACAGAGCAAGCACCCACAUUUUCUGCUUCUAACUCUGUUUCAUGAGUUGCUGGCGAGUAAGCUUUGAUCUUCUUGUGACUCGCUCUGUGUCCACCCAGUGCUUGGUACGAUUUAAAAACUUUGUUGCACGUUUCACACCUGUACUUACCUCGAGUUGUUCUGUUUACCUUGCUUAUUUUGAAGUACUCUUCUGAUUCAUCUGUUUCUUCCAUAGACUUUUCUAUUUCUGUUGCUUCUUCCUCAUCAUCAUCUUGAUGUACUUUGCUUUUCCAUUGGUCCCUUGAAAGCAUCAUAAGACAGAAAGCGACAUCUUCUUCAGUCGUUGUAUCAGAGAUCGAACUCACCGGUUCAGGCUCAGCCCAAGACUCGGUCUUGCUCAGUUGGUUAUUGUUAUCUUUAAGCUUCUUUAUUGUUUCUUCUUGCAGCUCUUGACUUUCUUGUUGCUGGUGAUGAUAUUGAUGAUGCUCCAGUAUCUUCCGAGUCCGUUUAGAUCGUCUCCGAGUUGGGUUCUUAUGCGACUCCGUCUCGCUUUCUCUGUCUUGAAGAACAACAGAACCAGCGUCAACAAACUCAGGAUCCACCAAGCGGACACUUCUCUUUGGAUUCUCCCUAAGCCCAUAAAACUGCCCUUUUUCUUCUCCUUCUUCCUCGGAUGACGAAAAUGAAGCCGAAGCUGCCUCAGACUCUUCGCUUGGUUGAUUCUGGGCUACUUCCAGUCGUUCCUGUUCUUCAACUUUGGGAGGAACCGGAAAAUGCAACAUGUGAGACCUCAUAUGACCACCCAAAGCUUUUCCAUUUACAAAGCUUUUCAAGCACAAUUUACACUUAUAUUUCUCCAUUGCCAAAAAUCCAAGACGACCCAACACCCCUCCAAAGACACAGCUGAAUCUUUACCUCAAAGGCUGUGAGCUCUGCACUCUGUCUUUGCCUUGUGGGGAUAGAGUUUUAAAGAAACAUAGAAAGAGAGUGAAAAACUAAAAAAGGAGUAGGUGACAAGCAUUCCUCCACCAAGAGAUAUAUACAAAGAUACAAAAAAGAAAAAUUAGAAUAAAACUAACAAAUGGAUUUUCUGAUUAAAAGGGUAAUUUAUUUUCCCCUUAAAACGGCAAAUUUCAAUAAAUUAAAAUUUAAUAAAAGGCGUAUGCAUGAAGGAACAAAGAGCGACAUGUAACAUGCGAGACUUGCCCGUUUCUGUAUUUAUUCCCUCUCCUUUCCUUAAUCCGAACUUUCCCAACUUGCCCCUUCUUCAAGGGCAUUUCAGGAAUUAACAGGAGGUUACCAGGAUAAACCGGUGUCUUUUGCUUGUACAAGUCAAGAAAACUGCUGGGGUUUGUUGUAACGACGAAGCAGACUAUAGAAAAAACCCCCCAAGGAUGUCCUGUACGAAGAAAUCCCCUUAGCUGUGACACAGAACAAAAUGACAAGCACAGGAAAACAAAUGAAGUCUUGUCCACGUGUCAUAUUACCGUAAUUGUAGUUUUUAUUUUUUUUACUGCAAUUAAAACCCUUAAGUAUCAGUUACACCUUUUUGCCGGUGAGAUUUGGGCCAACUGUCAGAGUGUUGGUAGCUUUAGCAUGCCGGCUGGACCGGCUACUGCCCCUUUUUUUUUGCCAUGAUGUAGAUCAUGAAGUAAAGUAAAAUAAAAAUCCAGUAUAAUGUCAACUUUUGUUGGGGUUUACUUUCCUUUAAUUUUGGAUCUUUUUGUUGAAACGUCUGAUGGGAAUGAAGGGUGGGGAAAUGGGCAGGAAACUAACCUCCCAUUGAGGAAGGAGUUUUCUAUGGGGGGGUAGCAAAUGCCGUUUUGUUAGGGUUUGGUAGACCCAGUCCUAGUCCUAGUGCCACCCCCCCCGCCCCAACCCAUUCAUUCAUGUGGACAAAAUACCAAAUUUUUACACAUUAUUUGGUGGAAAUUUUCGUUUCUUUACUUUGAAAGAGAGUUGGGCUGGAAGCAUCUACGCCUUUUGAUCAAAUCUGUUUUGGUCUUUGUGGGGUAUCACGAGAAAGAAUUUGCCAUUGGGUCGUCUAAAAAGCUAAAGCCAAUGAAAUUUAAACAAUGGAAGUUCAAUUUAAAUACUUGAACAAGUUCAAAUUAGUGAAUGUACGACAAUUUUUGGAAUAAAUUUGGAUUAAAGCUAUAGCUUAGGCAAGAAGGAAAUGGUCGUAUUUCUUUUCACAUGGAAAAAAGCACUUUGGGGCACAUUAAGAUCGUGUCUCUUCAGACCAAUUCAACAUGGACAGGAACUGAAGCUGGCGUAAAGAAGACCACAUUGUAUCGCAUGCCCAGCGGUGAGGAUGACAAUACUGGCAGCACAGUGAGCUUUUAAAGUACUCUUUGAUAUGCCCUCCCCGUACAUCCUCAUCAAGGGUUUUUGGCCCAACAGGGAAGACGGGGGUGAAAUGAUCGAACAGGGCAGAGCCUGCUUUUUUCUUUUCUUUUUUUCCACUAGCAGUAUAGCAACCUUGCUUCAAUUCAUAGCUUGGAUGCAUCAAUAUGACACAUCACAGUCAUCAACCAUAACUGCUAUCUCUCAUGUCAUGAUAUCACGAGGAUCAAUUUCGGAUCUUAUAAUCAUUGACAAUCGAAAUGAUUUCCAUUGGACAUUGGGGAAUGAUGUGAAACAAGUUACUGCAGAGCAUGAAAGUAACUUUGACAGAUGAUUCAGCCUUAAUUUGGUACUGUUAUAGUUGAAUUGCAAAACUGUAACUUAAAACAAGCUAUGGUAAAAGCGCUCGAGUUCAAGCUGUAAACAAACAUGUUACAGAGAUAUUUUCUUUAAUAUUUCUAAAUGCCUGUUGAAAUUACUGGGGAAUUACUUUUAGUAUGAAGAUAAUGCAAUUGCCAGGCUGCUCUGGUAUGUGUCGAUGUCUUUCUUGGUUAGAUUUAAAAUGACAAGAACAAGACACUUUGUUGUAAUUUGGUCGGUCAUGCUUUUUCUAGCUAAGGCAGUUCGAGUGUUCUUUUUUGCAGAUGGUGAGCAACUUCCAUGCUUGGUUCGGACAAAAUCGUAAAAGGGAUGGCGUGUGUUCUUUUGUUUCUUCAGGAUGAACUUUUACUACAAUGACCCAAAAGCUUGCAUGUCCAAGACAACCUCUUACAUCUCUGUUUUCAUUGGUUUUAGCUACUGAACUUCAUCUUCAAUUCUCUUUUGUUUUGCAAUCUCUAUGAAUUCUCGUUUCCUCUAGUAUGUCAAACCCCUUGACCGAUUGAUGAAUGGAAAAUUGCUUAAUCAUCAUACUUGUUCUGGUCUAAUACACUGUUUCAAGAACUAGUUCUAUUAAGCAAUAGGGAAGGAUGAAAGGGUGAAGCUUGAAUGUUUAAGAGCGAGGACAGUUGAGGUUGAAUGUCGAAUAGUACAAGUGUUUUAUUUAUAUUAGUUUUAGAUCUCUUACUUUUACUAUUAAGUAGUUAUCUCAUGUACUGUAAUUACUCUUUUACUUCUCCUAGAGGUAAUUAGUUGGCAAAGUUGCGUUUCCUUUGGUUGCCGGCUCGUAUAUAAAUGGUGAUGUAACAACUCCUCUGUUCAAUUAAAAAUACAUACAUUCUUUCAUUUUCUGGUUUGCCUUCUUAAUUUUUCCCUCAGUUCUCCAGAGGUUUCGAACAAGUUUUGGGAAAAACGUUAUGCCGGGUCUGAAUCCCUCCCCCAAAAUUUGUUUCAGACAAAAGCAAGGUCUUUAGCGGCGAAGGAAGUAUUCGAAAGGGUCCCAUGAAGGGAAGUUUCUGCCAUUGUUUGUUUCAGGUGUGAACAAAAUCCUAGCUAGUUGGAGUUUGGGUGCGCUACGCGGUUUGUUGUGAAGCCUGUGACCCAGUUGAAUUCCAGACCCACUGAAUAAUAAUCAUGGAAAUCAAUUAAAAAAAAAAAAGAAAAAGAAAAAUAAAUGGCUGCAACUUUGGACGCAUUCCAUUGCUGGUAUCAUACGGGGGAAGUUUCGUCCGAAGAGUGAAUCAGAUUUCUGAAGGAAAGUUUUUGCAGGGAAACAAGGCGACCCUAGUCUUUUGUUUAAGCUAGUACUAGACUUUGUCACGUGAAAUUCUGAGUUGGAAACACUGGAAAUCCCUCGUUGAUUAUAAGCAAGUAAAAGUUUGUUCUCCAUGAUCACAUUAAACAAUUAAGAAUUUUCGGAAUACUGAUUAUCAAAAUGACGCUGUUUUGCUGUAACUCGUGAGUUUAUGUUUUACUUGUCGGCGGGGAAUAUUGUAGUCACAGGCCACGGAUUUCAUAACAACUUAAACAAAAUAAGGUUCCGUAAUUAUCACUCUUGGCGCAUUUGUCGUCGGUUAAGUCUCAAUCCAGGGGCCACAGCGCAACCCCAACCGCGUUAAUUCUCUUCCUUUGGCUCCAAUCUCAUCCUCCCUAUUAGACCCCGUAGAGAAUUAAUGUACCAAUAAAGACUCUAUAUUUCUUCUUCAAGAUAAAGACAACGAAUCUAUCACGUAAUAUGAAUAUCGUGAGAUCAAUGGAUAAAAAUAAUAGCUGUUCUAAUACCACAUUACAUUUUUAAAAUGAUCAUUUAAUUUAAAAUCAAUUAAUAGUAAAUAACGAGAUCUUUAUUAUAGUUAUGUAUCAAAAAUAUCUUUAAUUUAACAUGUAUGAAUUGAUUUUCUUAUAAAGAUUUGAUCUAUUCCGAUUGUAAUAAUUUAUUGUAUUUACGAUUAUAUAUGAAAAUAACUACCCGUAAACGAAAAGGAAGAAAAAAGGCUUGAAGUUAAUUAUGUUACACAUGUUUCAUUAUCUCCAUAAUGUAAUCAAUUAAUUUUACUGUUUGUAUUGCCUUUCAUGAGUCACAUGUAUAUAAUCUGUAGUCCAAAAGGAGUAGCCACAUUGGAAGCAAACCACCCAAUUUAAGAUUUUUCUAAUUGCAUUUGCUUGCUAGUUGAUGAAGUGGGCAACUUCCAAAGUCAAACAAGUAAUGGCAGGCACUUUGUAGGAAGAUUCCACUUGAAGAUAAGAAGGCUACAACAAAGCUUUCCUUUUGCAUUUGUCUCUAAAGAUGGAAAAGCACCAAACAAGAAUCAUUGACUACUCCUUCCCCUCUCAUGAUUCAAGGUUAAUGAUGUAGCCCAAGAAAGAACGAUUUCAAACUUAAUUAUACAUAUAGACCAUAAAUUAUAUUCUCCAACUUUUAAUGGUGAUUCUCAUGACUGCAGGGUCCGUUGCUGUAGCAUUUUUGGAUAUUUUUCACCAAGUGGUUCUAAGUUCAACUUGCCCUCGUUCAGCUGCGUAGAACUAGUAAAGAAGUUGUUAGGUUAAUAAUAAAAGGUGCUAGAACCAAAAAUUUUGAGCAAAGUCAAGCCUAUUGUUGCUAAUCUAGUCUAGUAUUAUUCUCUCAUACAUUAGUUUUUUUUAUAUCUUUGGUGUUGGAGAGGAAAUAGACCCUUAGAUUAAUGCAAAGAUAUUUUCAAAAAAUUUAAUUAAAAGAUGAGAAUAUGGGUAUUAGAAUUCCAACCACCAGUCUUCUCUCCCUUCUAAAAGGUGAUUUACCUAAUCACUAAGUAAAUUUGCUACUCGAAUUUCAUCCCAAACCCAAAUAUAAGUCAAAUAUGAGAUGCCUAUAUCUUAUAUGAUCGAGUCAAAACCCGGUUAAAGGAUAUCCAUAACCAUCUUUAUCACUAGGUCACAUUUAUAGCUACCAAUAUAUAUAAUAUACAUUUGAUUUUCUGUCCAAAUUCUUCUUAUACAGUGAUACAUACAUUGAUCUUAUAAUAUAUAAAAGAGUAAGCAAUGGGAGAUAAUUGAACUAAUUAAUCUCUAUUUUAUAUAUAUGUAUAUAUAUGCACUGGGAGUAUGGACCAACAAUUUCCUUUGGACCAUUUUCAUAUUUUCAUGGGGGUUAAAGAUCACCCUUUCUGCCCUUCAAAAAAAAAAAAAGAUCACCCUUUCCCCCUUACAGUAUAUAUAUAGGAUGUAAUAACGUGUUAUAUAUUCACCAUUUCCCCCCUUCAUGAUGUUUUAUUUUUUCAAGUAUUCUACUUUACCUUCACAUGUAGCUGAAUUAUUUUUUCCCCCUCGAUUAAUUCUAUCUAAACUAAAUUAAAUUCAGAACUCCAAUAAUUCCUGAUAUAUGUAUAAUCAAACUUCAUAGUUCACUUGAGUAGUGUUCUACUCAAACCACUUAAUCAAUUUAAAAUAAUCUCAGGCUCUAGCAAGUUGAAAACAUACAAAUUUGCCAUUAAACUUUAACGGCCACUAGUUUCUUUUGUUGGUUCGAUCGUGUAUUGAACUCCAGAGUCAAAUUCGAUUUUAGUGAACUUGUGGUUUCGGUGUAGAUAGUUCACUUACUUCUCCCCUAACCUACUUGAAAAGUUAGGAAUACAUAUUCAAGUCUCGGCUCUCAAUGGUGGGUGACCAUUGGGCUAAGGCCUGCGGGCUUCUACUCUUUCCUAUUUGAUUGAACUCAAACCCUAUCAGAGGUCGUUUGGUGAAAUAUAUUUUUGAAAAUGGAGUUUUAUCAUGGAUAUUACAAUACCGCAACAACUCUGCCCAUAAUGUCAGUCAUGCUUCCUGCUCUAUAGCUCGCUAGUCCAAGCUCGAAAACUUGGCAGGUAUUUAUGCUGACCCCGUAUGUAGUCUAGGCCAAUUAAAGCAAGGUAAACGACUGGCCAUGUUUUAUUUGAGAUUAAAAUCGUGGUGGACCGUCGAACUUGCCAGGACCAACUCUUUUCUGCCCGACAAGUGUCUCUCUUAGAGCGAGUUGAGGUUCCUCCUGCCCCCCCUCCACUUUGAGCAAAGAGUGGCAAAGCAAAAAGUUUUCAGAAAUUAAGUACACAAGUAGUAAAAUAGUGCAUCAACUUAAAAUCAGAACUCAUCAAUUGUAUCUAGAACAUGGCAAUUUAUUUUUAGUCUGAAAGUCCAUUGAUGAAGAGCAGAGGUUUGUUCUGGUACAAGUUCAUAUCAGGCCCAAAACCUGAAAGUUGCAAACGAAGAAAGCUUGAAGACUCUCUGUACAUACCAUGCAGAGACAGAACCCAAAAGAGAAUAAUGAAAAAGUUGACAAAAAUUACUUGUAAUAAAAUACUGACAAGGCAUCAAAAAGCAGUUUCUGUGCAUUUCAUUUUCACCCCUAAUGCCGAAACAUGCCAGCAAUAACAUGUUUGAUUUUGUAAUUACAGUUAUAUAUAAAUACAAAAAGUCUACAAACGAUUGAUAGUAAAUAAAAAUGAGGAAAAAUCUCAUAAUGCAAUAAAAAAAAAUUUAAGGGUCAGAGCCAACAUGAGUAGUUGAACCAAUCCCAACUUGCAGCCAUGGCGAUGAACCUCCACUCAUAUUGAUGUCCUUUAGUUCGCUUAGUUUUGCUAACUUCACCUUACUGUCUGCUUCGUCAUCUGCAUUUUGCAUAGAACUAUUACAAUUAUUGUUCUUGUCAUUUUUGUUAUCAUUGUCAACUUGCAGUUGGUGUUGAUGAUUCUCUUCCUUUUCUUUGGCAUCAACGCCUAUCCAAGGCUGCAAAUAGAUUUCUGUUGAAACAUCAAAGCUGGAUGGAUUAGCGUGGUUCCGUCGUACAAGAUCAUCAGCUGGAGCAGGGAGAUUGAGAUCGAGCUUAAGAUCGAGCGGCUCAGAAUUGUCGAUGAACUUUGGUGUUUGCUGAAUCGGCUCCAUGUGACCUUGAAACUGAUGAAACUUAGCCAAAGAGGAAGUGUCAGGUGAAUUUGAAGUGAUCCAAUGACAUCUUUUAUGCCCUCCCAAUGCUUGCCCUGAUGAAAAAACCCGGUGACAGAUUGAACAUUCAUGUACUUUUGAUUUUCUUUUCGAUGUAGAGGCCAAUGGAGCACUAGUUCCUUGAUCAAAUUGCAAAGUUGAAGUUGAUUUUGUGGGAAAGAAUUCUUCGUGUGUGAUAACAUCGUGGUCUUCAUCAGCUUGACUAUCAUCGAUAUGAUCAAGCCGAGCUGCAAAGCACCCCUUAACCUUCUUGUGACUAGCUCUAUGUCCACCCAAUGCUUGGUGGGAAUUGAACACUUUCUUGCAUGCUUUGCACUCAAACAACCCUUUGGCUACGCCCUUGGCCUUGGCCUUGUCCAUAGGUACCCUACAUGCAAUAGGAGCAAUGAAAUUCAUUGUAUUUCUUCUCUCCUCUUCUUUGCUGGCAGAAGCACAAGACUCCUCAGGCUCAGUGAAGAAAGGAUCAACGGUUGCAUUAGAUAACAUCAUUAAGCAAUUGGCAAGAUCUUCCUCUUCGCUUGACGGGCAAUUCGAGUUGAAAUUACCCACUUUAGCUCUCAACGACCUUUUCCUUUUAGACCAACCGCACCCUCUCCUUGUCACACCAUCGUCACCGUCUGAUCCUGGUGAGGACACAAGCGACUCGGCGUCCUCGGAGCUACAUUUACCAUGCUCAAGAAAAGAUUUCCAAGACAAAAACUCCUUCCCACAAUUCUCACAGACCCUACAGCUCUUCAACCGAUUAGGGUUCGUUCUUAAUGCAUACAUGCGCUUAUUGCUAGGUGGCACAUUCCCUCCUAAUUUGUCUUCCCAAUCACUUGCAGGAUCAUCGUCAUCAAUGUGCCCGCUCUCGUCGCCUAUUCCAUGCGCCCUCAUAUGCCCACCAAGCGCUCUCCCACACCCAAAUCCUUUCUUGCAAAUUUUACAAAAGUGUUUAAAGUUUGAUUGUUGAUCCACAAUAAAAGCCAUACAACGAAACGGGAAAAGGGAAAAUCUGAUGAAGUGAAAGAAGAAUAGGGGAGAAGGGGGGAUGAGGGAAGUUGUUCUUAAUAGUGAAAGGUUGUUGCAGAGUUUUAUGGUGAAAAGGGGCACUAGUCCUAGUUUUUAGUAAGAGUCAUGGCUUGGUUUUUUGUGGAUGAAAAAUAGAUUAGAAUAGAAGAGGGCAAUGGAGAGUCGAGGAGUGUGGUGACAAGUGGUAGGCGGAAUAGAGGCUAAGAGACUUUUUCUACUGCUUUGUGGUGGUGGUGGCGCCGCCGCCGGUCAAACAUAUACUACAAAAACCAACGGAGUUCCGUACAACCAGUUAGUGUUUUGCAGUGUGAGCUUUUGGCUUCUGUUGCAUGUGUGUGUGUGUGUGUGUGUGAGAGAGAGAGAGAGAGAGUGAAUUGAGUGAUCAGUGAAAGAGAUUAAGAGAGAGUGGUUCUAACUGCCAUACCUAUUCAUAUCCCUUCAAUUCCAAGCCAAGAAAACUAACCCAUGCUUCUCCUUGUCUGUCGGUUGGUUCAAUCUGCUUUUCCACAGAAUUUUCAUAUCUCAACACAUUAUUAUUACCUAUUAUUAUCUUCAAAAACCCUUUUUUUGGAGGGUGGCAAGGAUUAAAUAUAUAUGGUUUUCUCUUGCUUUUUCCCUUCAUAUAACAAUUCUUUAAUUACCACAAGAGGAAAAGUAAAUUAGCUUCUCAAUAAUUAGCUUUAAAGGGUAUAUAUAUAUAUUAUAUAAUUCCAAGAGGUUGCUCAUGCUAAUUAAAUUCCUAAUUAAACAUAACUAUGUCAUCUACACAAGAACAAUGAAUCAAGUUAGGGAGAUAAGGGGAUUCAAAGUACUAAUAAUUAAGAUAAAAGUUAAAAUUAAGUUAUAAUUGGUUUAGUCAAUGUUAAUUGAAGCUUAAUCCAUUAGGUUUAAGAGAAUUUAUACCAAGUUAGUAGUGAUUAGAUCAAAUUAGCUAGUCAGUGAAGUACUCUUGGCUAAGCAAUGACUUUGCUUCCAUCGGUACGGCAGUGGGUUUAGUCUCUUUAAUCAAUCAAUGAUAUCAUUCUUUUUGCUUUGAUUCAAAGCAUCCCCAAAGCCAACUAGCCAGUCAAUUAAGUAGUGACAGUGAUUAAGCAAAGAGAUAUGAUUCCUGGUUAGUCCAGGCCAUGUUGAAGUAAGCAGUCUACUGAUCAUCAACUGCAUCUUGAGCUCACGAAAAUUCACUACGAUUGGGACAAUUCAUGAUUAAAUUUGAUGGUAUGUAGAGGUUGAUGGCAGCCACCUACCAUUUUCAAUUAACCAUUUGUAUUUUAUUAUUCUAUAAAUCGCCCUCGUAUAUAAAGCAGUAUGUAUGUUUCUUGGCUAAAUUUUUAGACAUUUUCAAUGAACAGCAUGGUGAAAUUGCAGUAUUUAAUCAAGGCAUUAAGGCAUUAAUUAUUUUGAGAUGUAAUGUAGCUUUCUGUCUGAAUAUUUUCCAUUUCACAAGCUGAAUUGCAACUUUUUUUUUUAUGGUUUUGCUGAAUUAUAUUUUUUUUUUCAUUUUUUUGAUAGGCAAUCUUUAUAAGAAGCUGUAUAAUGAUACAUCAAAAUAUUCACUCGAGUCUCGCAUCCAUUACUAGAUUUGAUAAUUUUGGACACGAUACAUUAACACGACACGAGAAGACACAGGUUAAACAGGUUUUGGGUUUACCCUUAACGUGUUUCGUGUCUAAUCGUGUCUUAACGUAUCAGACACGACAAACACGUUUAAACAAGUUUACUUAAUCGUGUUAUCGUGUUUAAACAUGUAUAUGUGUUUAAACGUGUAUACGUGUUUAAACGUAUAUAUAUGACACGUUUAUUAACCUAUUAAACAUUAAUAGUUAAAAACUAUUUUAACCUUAUAUAAAUAAUUUUUAAUAAUUAUUUAAUGUGUAUUUUAACCUUAUGUAUGAUAAUGAAUUUUAUGUAUGUUAUUUAUAUUAAAUUUUAUUAUAUUUGAUGUUAUUAUUAUUUUUUUUGUUAUAAUUAUUUUUAUAAUUAUAGAUUUUAAAUUUAAAUAAUAAAAUUAUAUUUAAUUAUAAAUAUUUUUAUUUAAUCGUGUUUAACGUGUUAUUAAUCAUGUCGUGUUGUAUAUUGACACGUUAAUAAACGUGUAAAAUGUGUUAAUCGUUUCGUGUCGUGUUACACGUGUAUUAAACGUGUAUGUGUACGUGUUUUAAAUUUAAGACACGAAUAUUAAACGUGUCGUGUUCGUAUUUAGUCUUAACGUAUUUCGUAUCUAAUCCUGUCUGACACGUUUAAAAUACGAAAACACGAAUUGUCAUAUCUAUCCGUUACCAUGAACAGCUCAAUUGCAAACUCGAUACAGUAUUAAUUUGCUACUAAUUAUUUCGAUAAAUCAUAAGACAAUUAAAAGGAAAAAUCUAACUCAGCCAUCUCACCUGUAAAAGAUGUUAGAAAAUACUGAUCUUGAUUUAAAAAUAAAAAGUAAACAAAUAUAUAUAUAUAUAUAUAUAUAUAUAAACAGAUUCCUCUCCCUAAUGGCUUUAGCAAGGGUACAUUCCAACUUCUAAUGGACUGAAUCCUCCUAUAUAUAUUGGAUACUAAGUCCAAAAGAGGUUGCUUAAGCCCCCAUGGGUAAGCUCGGGUGCUAGCCAAUUUGAGUUAGCCAGUGAGGGUUGUCCAGAGCCCAAUCAUGAUCACACUUGUUGAGAACUGGUCCAAAAAUGGGCUAAAAUAGAAGCGAGAAGGGAUAGAAAUUGAGAUCAUGUAUAUAUAUAUUGACGCAGACACCAACAGAAACAAAUAAAAAGAAGCCAUCAAAAAAUGAAAUAAACCUAAUUGAACAAGCUGAUCAAGGCUUCAACCCUCGGUGAUACUCAGCAUGAUCGUCUCGCAUGCUGUCUCUGAAAGCACAGUAAGCACAGGAAUAUACAAUGAUGAGGAAGAUAAGGAAUAUGACGUUGAUACGGGCUACCUUAUGCUUCUUCCAGGAAUUCUUGACGUUGUCUAGAAUCCCAGCCUUGCACGAUUGGCAAUUGAAGCAUAGAACUUUUGGAUUAUUAUCCCAUUUUUUGCAAUCGGGAUUCUUAUAUAUCCCAUGCUCCUUUGUCCAAUUAGUCGGAUUCUUAUACGUAAAUCCGCAGUCGUUUGACGGCUUACAACAACCAGACUGCAUUUAUAAAAAAUAAGGGUUCGAUUAAGGAGUGUUUAUUAAUUUUAUAUUAAUUACAAAAAUCGUUUUACAAAAAUUAUAUUAUCAAAAAAUUUAAAAAAAAAAAUAAAAACGAAAAUCGUACCUGAAGAGCAUUCAAGGGCUUAUGGUGGAACUUCUGCAGACUAUCAUUGUGAAACUUGCUAUGGAAAUCGGUGCAAAUCCUGGAUUGAACCAAACAAGUCUUAACCUUAUUCCAAUUCUCAGCGUUGUUCACUAUCCUUUGAAGCCAGAUAGAAUAAUCCCCCAGCCUGUACUCUUUAUAUCCCUUCCCGGAUAACGACCGUCCAGCACCUUCAUUCGUCACCACAAAAGCGAAGGCAGUGAAAACGACGCCGCCCAAGAUGAAGAGAAACAUGAAGACGAGGUAGAUCCAGAGCAGUCCCGGCACUCUGCAGCACGUGCCGAUGAGGGCUGUCAAAGAUAGGAGCAUGAGAAAGAGUCCGACCAAGAUAAGUGGCUUGUCGAGGAGGCGUUCGCAUUCCGUGACGGCGUUCUUGCUUAGCAAUAAUCCCGCCGCGAAGAUCGUGAUCGAAACUAAUAAGGUUAUGAGGUUGAGGAUUCCGCUGACGUCGUUGCUCGGACGGAUCGAUGACAUGAUAAUCUUUUCCUGGUUGGGUACUGGGAAAAAUCAGGGAUCUGACGGGAAAAGAGAAAAGGUUCGAGGAAGUGGAGUAGUGGGAGUCUUCGCUAUCUGGUUGGUUUUUAAAUAUGCGCGGGGGAUUUCGAUUCGGGAAGGGAAAGUCCGUUAAAUUUGGGCACGUGAUUAAGGGAGUACGUUAACUUUACACAUUGGCAAAUUGUGAGCGCGUGAGGGAUUUUUGGACUCCUGUUUGACUUUAAUUACUGCCGCGUGGCAUCUAUGGAAAAUACAUUAUUUUUUGGGGGGGAAUCAAAUUAUACUUUUUUCAUUCAAUCUUUUCAAUUUAUUUCUAAACAUUAUUUAGAUUACCCAAUGGAUAGAAUCUGAAUUAUACCAAAAAAGAACAUACAUUUUCUUUUUAAUUUUUGACACCCUGAAUAAUGAAAUUUUAGAAUUGAAAUUUUCAUCCAAAUUUUUUAUCUUCAUCGAUCAGCUCAUUCUUAUAUGAAUUUUUUUAUAAAUUAUUAAAUUAUAUAUAUACUGAUAAUACAGAUUUUUUUAGAUGAAUUAUUAUAUUAUAAAAGAUACAAUAUGUAAUUAAAAUUGAUUAUAAAAUAAAGUAAAUUCACUUGAAUCAUAUAAUAAUAUUUAUUUAAAAAAAUUCAUGAAUCAUAUAUUUUUAAGGACGGCCAAGAAUUUUACAAAAAUAAGUGUAAUUUUCUAGAUAAAAAGGUGCUACAUGUCUUUUAAAAAAUUAAGAUAAUGAUAGAGAUAGCUUUGAUUCUAUCAAGAUAAAUUUCUAGUACUUUAAUUGAUUUGAAAUACUUUUAUUCUUUAACCUAUUCUUUUGUAUCCUUAUCAUGUGUAACUUAAAUUGAACAGAGUCUUGAAGCCAUUUAAAGCCAGCUAGCAAGGCCUUAAAUCAUCUCUCUUUAUACUAUUAUCCAUCUUUUGUUUUUGGAAUGUCUUUAAAUUUUUUUUUUCACUUUUAAACAUUUAAUAUUUUCGUGAAAAUGAAAAAAUAUUUAAAAUAAAAAAGGAAUAUUGUAAAUAAUUUUUUGUUCAUUUAUAUAUAUAUAUAUAUAUAUAUAUAAGCCGUCACGUGUGUAAAACGGGUGCUAUAUAUAUAAAUUGUCAAACAAGGCUAUAAACUGUAUUUUAUUGAUAAUUCUCCCAUAAACAUACAUAAUCAAGCAAUUAAGACAUGGAAGAAUAUCUUCAGGUUGACUAACAGGACAGUUAUAAACGUGGUACAGAAUCGAAUACAUUAUAUCGUAUAGAGAUCGCUACGUUUAGGGUGCCUUACUAGGCAUUAAAAAUUAACGACUGAUGUAUAGGUUUGUCCGGGCUGCCAACCAGCAGGAAUGACACCGGUUGCCACAAGAGUCUGGCCAGAGGUGAGUGAUGUCAGCCUGAUGGAGAACGGAGGCCGCAACGUCGAGCCGCUGUCGAGUUUCCAGACUGCACCCCAGGAUUGUUGCAUGGGAAGCCAGGGGUCAGAGUUAAGCGCCUGUUUGAGUUCAACUAAGGCAAGGUCACCAUCUCCAUUUUGGUAUAUAACUAGGGUGGCGAAAUAGUAAGGGUUGGAGCCGGCAUCAACUUUGAAGGCAAUGGACGUCCCGGGAUAGUUACAUUGCACUCUGUAAGCCAAUUUUUCGUCAAUGAACUGAGUGGUUAGAAAACGUUGAGAAUUUGACAGCGAAAUGAAGGUUUAAAAUUAUUUGAAGAAUAAUCUAAUCCCAUAGGCAGUAGGCUUGGUUUAACAAAGUCAAUUCCCAAGAGUAAAUACCACCUAUAGUGCAAUUAACAAAGUCAAUUCUUCUUCACCUUUUUUUGCAGGCUGAGGAUAUGUUAAAUUCUUCAUGGAAAAAUUGUACAAGAAUAUUGUCAUGCUACUUCUCUGUUCUCAUCCUCUCUUUCUAAUCGUACGUAGAAUCUUACCUUCUAUAUUGAAUCUGCAAGACUCCAGCGUUACGGAGUUGAUCAGCCUGGCCAGACUUUGCCAUGGCACCAAAAGCAGUACCACUUAAGUCAAAAUGAACGGACUCCGAGACACAGCCAGGGCAUUCAUCGGUGAUAACUACAGUCACAGGAUUUUCCGAGCACGCUGAAUUUGUCGUGCACUGGACCUGAAAUUAAACCAUAUUAUGCAUGUUAAACAACAUUGAAAGGUACCCUUUGCAUGCGAGAGUAGGAAAAAGGAAGUAUAUGUAUAUGGAGAAUCAUCAUGAACACAAAGGAAGUUUAUCAAUCUUUCAAACUGACAGAAAAGUUAUGGAGUUUUUGGACAUGGGAAUGAGGCAUGAUAACAAACUGAUGAAUAUAUAUGUAUAAAAUUGUAUGUCACCUCGUAACAGGCUCCACAUCCUUUGCCAGAUUUGAAUAGGGAAGGGCCCCCAGCCGACACCAUCGCCGAAAAUGGGGCUUGCUCCACAGCACCCCCAUAACCACAAGCUCCACCUAGAUACAAAAAAAAAAAGGGUUAAAUUUCAUAAAAUUAAACAAUUUUCUAUGUGUAAAUAGUCUCAAUCAUUCUCCAUGCUCAUCGUUACCAUCACUUCCAGCCCCCGUGGGGCUGCCAUACCACGUUGCUCCGGCUGGGGACCAAUCGGACUCAGAUGCUGCCAAGGAGGCAUUAAGGAGCUUAGGGUAGAAGCAGUAACAGGAGUUGAAUAACAGAGAAAAUGUGGCCGCAAAAGUGAAAAAAGAGAGCAUGUUUCGAAGAGCGAAAGCCAUGAACACUUCGAUCAAAGAAACUACUAGUAGAAAGGAAUUAGCAAAGCUAGCUAAAUGCAAAGUUUAAGCUCUGUUUUGCUGAUGGGUUUAGCAGAUCAACGACGAGGUACUUAUAGAGCCAAAGGCUAGUGCAUGUGGUUCUAAUGCAACCACUUAGUGAAGGACACGUGCACGUUUUUAGAAGGAUUUAUGCAUUAUUUUCUUCAGGAACAAGCGAAAUGAGUAAGAUCCUUGAGAUACGAAAUCCUAAUAACCUAUACUACUUUAAUAGACUUUAAGUUAGAAUUUGGCUAAAUUCCCAUACAUUUCUAUGACAUCAGCUAGAAAAGUCUAAUUACAUUCGUAAGCACAUAAUUAAAUUGAUUGAAAUCGGAAGUACAAAAUGCCAAAGAGUAACACAACACAAAACCCCAGAGAGACCAGAAACCAGAAUCAAGAACAGAAAAAUCAACUCCCUGUUGUCCAGGCAAAAUUUGUCAGAGAAUCAGAAAAUCCGUCUACUUCUCUAUAAUUGAACAAAAAUACAAUUCAUUUGAGAAUCAACCAAACGUUCCAUGGCCUAAUAAUUUCAAUCACCAUGCACACACAGUUGAAAAUAAAAGAACUUUUGUUCUGUCCAAAUCACAGUAAUACUCUUGCAUGGUUACAUCAGUCAAAUUGCUUGUUUCCAGGCUUCGUUGCCGGAGCCGGGGGAGAAAGAAAAAAACAAACGCAAGAUCUGAUUUGCUCUUUUUAUCUCUGUUUCUCUGACUCAGACGUACGUUUACAGACGAAACCUAACUACCAACAUCUCUCUUUUGUCUGUUUGUGACAGUCUACGUUUGCAAUCGACCACAAAGCGGUUAUGUCUCCGACCCGCCCCCGGUAGGAAGGUUAACAUCGGGCCCACGUCAUCGACUGCUCCAAAUUAAUAUUUUCGUAUGUUUCUUGCCCCAAAUUCAAGGGAAUACGUGUUCGUUGAUUUUGCCGUUGAUGGUGGUUAAUGCCGUUUAACAUUCCCCAUCCGAUGGACCGAGUAAACCCUGAGGAUCCUUCCAUUUCCGUUUAAAAACUACAGCACGUAAUAUUUGGCGGGGAUUUGGGCUCUGUAAUUUUCAAAUCGUUUAUUAAUAAAUAAGAUUGAUGAGAUUGUAUGAUUGCGAUUUAAUGCUUUUUUUUUUUUACACCGAAAUUGUAAGAUUGACAUCUCAAUGAAAUAUAUA